rnacentral:lncRNA from 1 species
UUUUUUUUUUUUUGGCACAAAUGACUCGGCGAGGCAUGACUUUGGGGCAAAAAGGUUCUUGCCCGACCAUCUUGUACUAAACGAGCACUAAUGAACGAAAGCUUUAGAGGCACGACUUGACCUGCGGGAAUUAAGAAAAGAACAAGUUGAUCGUGAGAAAGAGACGGGAGAGACACAGCAGGUCGCCAUCGCUCGCUGAUUGAUUGCAGUAGUAGCUCCAUUGCUCGCAUCUUGUUCCACCUCUUAUCUCGCUCUCCCCUCGCCCACCACCCACCAGCCGCCUCCACUGCCACUGAGUACUGAUGAAGCUUCAACCAUCGCCCGAUAUGCCGUGUACAGCUCCGUCCAUCGCAUGAAUCAGCUUCACAACCCGGUUCAGUCUUGCUGUCGUCCGCUGCAGAUCGAGCUGCUCCCUCGACUCCGCUGCAGAUCCCGUAGUUUCCAUCAGGUACUCUGUUCUGAGCCAGAGAGUUCAUCACACGCACAGAUGUGUUCCGAAUAAGCUUUGGCUUUAGAUUAGAUGCUUGCCUGCAGUUUUAGCAGUUUUAUAGAGAAAAGUUUUCGCCUGCCAUGUGUUCGACAGAUUGUCCCACCGCCAACUAGAGGCCGAGACGGGCUGCCAAAAUGGCCAAAUCUUAUUGUACUAGUAGUAGUAUGCACAGUACAGUGAUCUCAUCCUGUUCUUGCCACUAGUGGAUAUUGUGUGUCAUAAAAGUCGUACUAGCUCUUAGUUGCGUCUGCAUGACAUCUGUGUCCUUGGCUGCAUAGUCUGAUGUUCGACUUCUCUCUUCUUAUGCUGCAGAAUUGAUCACACUGGUCCUUCAUUCGGCAUGUAAGCGCCGUCCUGCUCCAUAGGCCACAUACUACAAUUCUCUAGAAGGUGAGUAUUGGUUAGCUGAUGAUGUGAAACCGCCGGUAUCAAAAGUUACCCUUUUCGAAAGAUAGCUCUGUGCCAUGUAGUCUUAUCAAAUGUGAUAAAUUAACUUGUACUAAAUCAGCGACAAUUAAUACGGAUCGGGAGGGAGUAGAUAAAUUAGCAGCCCACCGAUUCAUUUACUAGACUAGUUGUGUUCUGUGUGCAUGCUUAGAGUUUUGCGCUCAACUAGCACAAACAUCAAUUGCUUGUUGGUCCUUACAUGGUAUCCUGGGGGCCUUGCCAAACUUCCUGCAACGAAAAUCUUUCUGUAGUCCUGACGACAGUCAAAAGAGAUGACAAUCGGAUAUUCCAUCCAGCUUAGUAGGUUUCUUCUGUUCUGUUCUUUGUGCCACCUGUCAUCCACGUUCUCUACUUAUUCAUUUCUUGAAUUAGGCUAGGUGCUUCUACCUUAGUUUUGAAAACAGAGAAUGACUUUGACUGAACGUUGUUUGUGAUGCGAUUUAUCUCUUCGAUUGGGUAUUUCUAUUCUAGAAUAUGAGCCAAAAUCCUCGUAUCUUUUCCAAAUUCUGCCGGGUGAAGUUCAGUCAGGAAUUCCAUCCGUUACUAGUGCCGUUAACUCUGAUCCAUGGGGAGAUUUCAGUGGACAAAGGGAUUCUCUGAUGUGAUGAUACCUAGUAUCUUCACACAUGAUAGAUCAUUGUUUGAUUUUAGAUAUGCUAUAAAUCGAUAAAUUUAGUUGAGAAAAAAAAUGGAAUGAGAUGGGCCAAGGGGUAUAAACUACUGUUUAUUCAUGCAUGAGCUAAUUCAGUUAAUUCUAGAUGAAUUUUCUACUCAAUCAUGUAACAUGCACUCUCUUUGCUGAACAGCUCAAAUGGCCGAGGCUGUACUUAUUGCUGUGACGAAGAUUGGUUCCAUUUUAGGAGAUGAAGUCAUCAAGGCCAUCAUAUCCGAGCUCUCUGUAAAAGUUACUAAUCUGAAAGAACUGCCGGUAAAGAUUGAGCAAAUAAGGCAGCAACUGAAUAUGAUGAGUAAUGUAAUAAUGCAGAUAGACACUGUAUACCUGAUGGACAAAGGGGUCAAGGAUUGGAUUGGGGAAGUCCGCAACGUGGCCUACCAUGUUGAAGAUGUAAUGGAUAAAUACUCAUACCAUGUACUUAAACAUAAGGAACAAAGUCGCCUGAAGAAAUUGUUGAAAGGAAAAGAUUAUGCAGUUUUCAGUCAAAUUGCGGAUGAGGUAGUUGCUGUAGAGGAGGAGAUUGAGCAAGUUGUAAAGUUGAAAGAACGUUGGUUGCAGCCCUUCCAGCUUGUCGCUGACCCACUUACUGAGAUUGAAAGACGGCGGUCCCAGGACAGCUUCCCUGAAUUUGUGAAAGAUCAAGAUCUAGUAGGAAUUGAAGAAAACAGGAUGUUGCUGACCGGAUGGCUGCACUCUGAAGAGACGGAGAACAAUGUGAUAACAGUAUCAGGCAUGGGCGGGUUGGGAAAAUCUACCUUGGUUUCAAAUGUUUAUGAACGUGAAAAGAUCAAGUUCACUGCACAUGCAUGGAUCGUUGUGUCACAAAUUUACACUGUUGAUGCUCUGUUGAGGAAGAUACUAUGGAAGAUUGGAUACACCGAAAUACCAUUGUCAGCAGGCAUGGACAAAAUGGACAUAUAUGACUUGAAAAAGGAAAUAGAGAAGAUGCUUGAAAAUAGAACAUAUCUGAUUGUACUUGAUGAUGUCUGGGAGCAGGAGGUAUACUUCAAAAUAUGUGAUGCUUUCCAGAAUCUCCAAGGAAGCCGCAUAAUCAUUACGACACGGAAGGACCAUGUUGCAGGAAUUUCUUCUCCCACCCGUCACCUCGAGCUCCUGCCAUUGAGCAAUCCUGAUGCAUUUAAGCUCUUCUGUAGAAGGGCUUUUCACAACAGGAAGGACCACACAUGCCCCAAGGAUCUUGAGACAAUUGCUGCUUCUAUUGUUGAAAAGUGCCAUGGCCUGCCUCUAGCAAUUGUUACCAUUGGGAGCAUGUUGUCUUCAAGACAAAAUUUAGAUGUUUAUAAGCAGAAGUACAAUCAGCUUGGACACGAGUUGUCAAACAAUGAUCAUGUCCGAGCAAUUUUAAAUCUGAGCUACCAUGACCUUUCAGACGAGCUCCGAAACUGCUUCUUGUACUGCAGUCUCUUCCCUGAAGACUACCCCAUGUCAAGUGACAGCCUUGUGAGGCUGUGGGUUGCGGAAGGCUUUGUGCAGAGUAAGGGAAAGAACACGCCAGAGAUGGUAGCUGAGGGAAAUCUCAUGGAGCUGGUCCAUCGCAAUAUGCUUGAGGUGGUGGAGUAUGAUGAGCUUGGUAGGGUCAGCAUCUGUAAGAUGCAUGAUAUUAUGCGUGAACUAGCUAGUUCUGUUGCUAAAGAAGAGAGAUUUGCUUCAACAGAUGAUUACAACACAGUGAUGGAUAUUCGUCGUCUGUCAUCAUGUGAAUGGAAAGAGGACACUGCCCUGAAAGCUAAACUUUCACAUCUUCGAACAGUAGUGUCAGUAAUUCCAUCCUCGCCUGACAUGCUAUCAUCAAUUUUAUCUGCAUCGAACUACCUUACUGUCCUUGAGCUGCAAGACUCUGAAAUAACUGAAGUGCCAAAAUCGAUUGGGUCUCAGUUCAAUCUGCGUUAUAUUGGGUUACGGCGCACCAAGGUCAAGGCACUUCCGGACACUAUUGAGCAUUUGUCUCGCCUCCACACCCUCGACAUCAAGCAAACCAAAAUAGAGAAGCUACCACGAGGGCUUUUCAAGAUCAAGAAGCUGCAACAUCUUUUCGCCGAUAGAUUUGUUGAUGAGAAGCAGGUAGAGUUUCGGUACUUUAAUGGAAUGCAAGCACCUAAAGAGCUGUCCAACUUGGAAGAACUGCAAACUCUUGAGACCGUGGAAUCCAGUAAUGACUUGGCCGAGCAGCUGAAGAAACUGAUGCAACUAAGAAGUUUGUGGAUUGAUAACAUUAGUGCCGCUGAGUGUGCAAAUCUGUUUGCUACCCUUUCAAAUAUGCCACAUCUUUCAAGCUUGCUUCUUUGUGCAAGGGAUGAGAAUGAGGAACUUUGCUUUGAGGCUCUCCAACCAAGGUCUACAGAUCUACACAAGUUGAUUAUCAGAGGGAAAUGGGCCAAGGGGACACUAAAUUGCCCGAUAUUUCUGAAGCAUGGGACACAUCUCAAGUAUCUAGCUCUAAGCGGGUGUCACCUUGUGGAAGAUCCACUGGAGAUGCUCGCCCGGCACAUGCCAAAGCUCACGUAUCUGAGACUUAACAACAUGCAUGGUGCAAGCACUCUGGCUCUUUCUGCAAAUUCCUUUCCAAACCUGAAGACACUUGUCUUAAAGUGCAUGCAUGAUGUCAGUGAGCUAAACAUCAGUGAGGGCGCUCUUCCAUGCGUUGAAGGUCUGUAUAUUAUCUCGCUGCCGAAGCUUGACAAGGUCCCUCAAGGCAUUGAAUCCCUUCGCGCCCUUAAGAAGCUCACACUGCAGUGCUUGCACAAGGAUUUCAUAAGUCAAUGGGACACCAACGGAAUGCAUCAGAAGACCCUGCAUGUUCCAGAGGUUUAUGUCUAGAUGCAGCAGGUCGGUUCUUCCUGCGGUGUCGGUCUUGGAUGGUGCAUCUGUCAGUCACAGUUGUGCAGUACUUUUAAUCGUUCUAGUAAAUUUGUGAUUAUUGAUGUCGUCAGCAGGCAUUUGUCGGCACUUGUGUGUGUACCAUAUUUACUCCUCAAAAGUUUGGUUUCCAUUGCCUUCCAGAGGUCCCCGUCUGGUUUUAAGUCAUACUAUGUGCUAUUACUCAUUUCAUGUAAUGAUAUGUAUCAUUUCUGUCGAACACCUUCUGUGAAUAAUCAUGUCGAACAUUUCAUCUUAUAUGUGGAUAUAUCUUGAUCUUUGUCGCUGUAUGAGCCUAUGACCUGAUUCACCAAGAGGCAUUACACUGUCAUUUCAGCAGGUCGUGCAUUUGUGCGUUUUGCUGAUUAGGUGUUCAAAUUUCAGGCUAACAAUAUCUAGAGUUAGUAUCAUUUAUUAGUAGCACUUGUGGGUGUUUUGCGGGUAUUAGGUCCUCCAGUUUGAAGGGGACAGACUAAGCAUCAUUUUGGUUCAUCUUGAUAUGAUGCCUGACAGACACUAUGGAGAAGGAAGACAAAGUAUCAUUUUGCUCCAUGUUGACAAUAUGGAGCGGAAAACAGUUUUCCUGGACAUGAAUACGUCAUCCGUACUGUGAGACUAACUGAUAUCAGGAAAAUUGCAGUCAGAAAUGUCAAUAUAGUGAUGUUGUUUCCUGCCCCAGUUAAAGUCCCUGCUUCAGAGGCCAGGAGCCAGAGCUUGGUAGGAGUUCAGCAAGUGUGUUUUGCUACGUACGUACCAUCUUUUAGAGGACACAAGGAUCCAAAACUUGCAAUGGCAAUGCAACACCCGUCCGUUCAUGUCAGUUAUGGUGGUCUGCAUUCGAUCAUCCUGGUAUUGUUUGAGUGAACCGGUUGAAUUACACGAAACCGUGUGGUACAUAGUUUAAUGUUUUUUUACUGAUCGUUAUUCGCAACACCUGGUGAACCGAACCUAUGAAUCCACCUCUUUUUCUUGCUCUGUGGCCUUUGUAAAUUCUUUUUGGUUUGUUUGGGUGAUAGAAUAGCUUGCAAUUUUGUUCAUGUUGCAGCCAGUGGCUAGUCACAUGUUUCAUUGGGCCACAGCACAGCAGAACAGCUUGCGUGCAGUUGCGUUCAUUUUCAAGGUCCUUACGGUGAGAAAUCCUGUUGAUUCAGAUGCACUUGUUGUACUAACACUAGCUAGGAGUAGCAUGAUACGGUGAUACCCCCGCAAAUAUAAUCUGGGAAGUUCUUGGGGGUUGCGCUUGUGCACAGUUACAUGACAAAGCAUAAUGGCUGGAGUGAAAUGGCAGUACAAAUUAAGACCGACAUGACGGACGCCGAUACGAAGCCAGGGCGCGCGGUGGCACGAGCAGCACGACGCAGAGGGCCACGGCAUGCUGAAUCACGAGGAGAAUAUGUAAUUACGUGAAGACCCGUUGACUGAUCUUAAUUAAGUGAGCGCUGCAAAACAAUCUGUGGUUGGAAUGGUUAGAUGGACAGUGGUAUCCUAACCCAUCAGAAUUCGAGUCAUGGCGCUCGCAUUUAUCCUGGAUUUAUUUUAGGAUUUCCGGCGAUACGCUUUCAGUGGGAGUCGCAGUCUGUCUGUAGUUCAAAAAAUUAAAUAAGCAAGCGAUGCACACGUUGGAGAAGGAGAAAAAUAUAUGACGACAUUUUAAUCAUGUGACACUACUAAAACCUUAAGAAAAAAACUUGUAUUUUGGACCUCAUUUUGACAAGUUUUUCUUUGCGGUAAAACCUCUAAUCUAUUCAUAGUUUUUUUCCGUUAAACCUCCAAUUUAUUCAUCAUUAAACAUGACAGUGUAAUGAAUACCAGAAACAAAAAAAAAGGUCAUACAGAUUCGUAGACCACCUAGCGACAAACUUCAAGCACUGAAACGAGCUGAAGGCGUGCCACCGCCAUCGCCCUUCCUCAUUGGAGCCGGGGAAAUUUUAUUGUACUAGAUAGUCGAGAAGUCGUCGUGCUAAAGACCAGAUUCACAUGGAUUCACCGAAGACAAACGCCGACCGAAUAUCGUGAGAUCCGUCAGAGACAAAUAUCCACACACCCUCAGAUUACGCUAGAAGCACCACCGAAACGAGGGCUAGGCAGGUAGGCUUUUAUUUCAUCUUUAAAGAGCCGCCGCCGCCUCGUCUCUCUGAGCAGGACACAAACCCUAAGAAAACUCAGAAAAUCAUCUAAAACCAAAGCCCUCCCGCCGGCAAGGACCGGGAUCCACCACGCCUUCAUGGCCCAAGGCCAAAGGAGACGAGGUAGACCGGCAAUGACGCCGGAGGGAGGCAGGAGAAGUUAGAACGACACGAAAAAAAUGUCAAUGACAUAUAAAACAAAAUGUUGUCAUGUCAAAAUUUAUCAUGUAUUGUACAUUUUCUCUAAAAAAAUGUAUUACCCAUACCAGAAAAAAAAUAUAUAGAAAAAACAAGAAAAAGAAUUUGACAUACUAAUUUUUUUUAUAAUUCAACAUGCUAAGGAUUUCAUAUAUAGCACACAGCUAAAAAACACAAAUGUAUAUGGCAGAAACUGCUAGUUGCAAAAAAGUGAAUAAAAAUAGUAUUUUUACUAGAAAUGCCUUCAUAUAAAAUCAUACAUGGUAAAUUUGAAAAACCGUAUAAAAUGAAAUAGAAAAAAAUUCAUGCACUUAAUAAAAAUAUAAAAAGGUCAUGCUCUUAGUGAUAAAAAAAUGUCAUGCCCUUGCUAACAAAAUUGGUAAGCUCUACAAAAAUAAGAAAAUGUCAUGCUCUAUAGAAAAAAUGCCAUGCUCUUUAUAAUUAAAGGCUACGCUCCACAAAAAGUUGCCAUGCUCUUAAAAACUGCCAUGAUCUUAAUAACAAAAAUGACAUGCUCUUACAAAUAAAAAUUUCAUGGUGUAUACAAAUGCAUGCCAUGCUCUUUCUAAUAAAAAUGUCAUGCUCUUAAUAACAAAAAUGACACGCUCUUGAAAAUAAAAAUGCCAUGGUAUGUACAAAUGCCAUUCUCUUUAUAAAAAAAUGCCAUGCUCUUUAAGAUAAAAAUGCCAUGCUCUUAAUAACAAAAAUGACAUGCUCUUAGAAAUAAAAAUUUCAUGGUAUGACAAAUGCCAUGUUUUUUAUAAUAAAAAUGUCAUGCUCUAGAAAAAAUAAUGCAAUGCUCUUAAUAACAAAAAUGUCAUGCUCUUAAAAAUAAAAAUGUCAUGGUGUAUACAUUGUAAAACUAGAUCAUAAUUGGUGUGCAUUGUCACGCCCAUCCAUUAUUUCAAUAGAAUGAUGGAAUUUUCCAUGAAUAUACAGACAAAAUAUGAAAGUUCAAUUUGCAUCGGAAGGAGAAGUGAGGGGAUCCCGCUGUAGUGAAAAAUGAGUUGAGAACAUAUAGAAUGACGCAUAGGGCCGCAACCACGACCGCCAUCUUAGGUCAACUCCAAUGGGACAAUGCAUUACAUCCGUCCACAUCUGUUUCUGUCCACAUCGGCAGAAACCACAUCCCAACGCGGUGGUUGUGUCUGCUUUGAUCCAUUUCCAGCUCAAAUUUGAGUUGUCCGUUGUGUGUGUAUAUUUCGUAAGCAAGCGCCACAAAUCAUUCCAAAAUUCAACGGCUGGGAACUACUACUUGUGACGAAAUCGACAAGAGGACUAAGCAACUCAAGGAUACAUUCCCAACACACAAAACUUGGCAUAGACAAUACACAAGACCAUGGUAACACGGACAACACUGCGCACACACAUAACGCUGUAAGGACAAUCUCGCAAUAACACACACACACACACACACACACACACACACACACACACACACACACACACACACACACACACACAAAGCACAAAGCACACAAAGCACACUGCUUCACCUAUAGAGCACAUAAUACAUGUCUAGCUCACAUCCAUAUUCCAGCUGCUUGCUGCUGGAGUCGUCCGCUCUGACAUCCCAACUUCUGAUUUUGAACAGAAAACAGAAAGCAACUCUGAAAAUGCAGUAAACUGAACACUGCACUAUCGAAUUCAGAAGCAUGGCGGGGUUGGGCGCUCGGAGAGGGCGGAUGGUGUGCUCACUCCAAGCCUAAUUCCAGAUCUGGGGACAUAGGUGACGCGGUGUCGUACGAUGUGGCAUCGUUGGAGGUAGAGGACGAGGACCGUGGUGGCAUAGUUGGCUCCUGCCGCUGCUAAUGUCGACAUUUUUUCUUCAGUUUAUACGUUUUGUACUUGAGGACAAGUGCCAACAAGGCAACCGCAAGACCAAGGAGGUGCUCAAGGUGUUGAGAGGUGGUGAUAUGCCUGAAGAGUGGAACAACACCAUGAUAGUUCUGAUUCCAAAAACAACUAGACCAGAGAGAUUGAAGGACUUGCGACCCAUUAGCCUCUGCAAUGUGGUCUACAAACUAAUAUCAAAGGUAAUCACCAGAAGAUUAAAAAACAUUUUACCUGAAAUAAUAUCCCCCAAUCAAAGCGCAUUUGUGCCUGGACGCAUGAUAUCUGACAAUAUUCUUUUAGCAUAUGAAAUGACUCACUUUUUGCAGAGGAAGAGGGGUGGAAGAGUAAGUUUUGCUGCUAUCAAACUUGACAUGAGCAAGGCUUAUGAUCGAGUUGAAUGGAAGUUCUUGCAAGGAAUCAUGUUGAAACUCGGUUUCAAUGGAAGUUGGGUGCAACUCAUGAUGAAUUGUGUGACAACGGUGAAAUACCAAAUCAAAGUUAAUGGGGACGUCACAGAGAUAAUUAUUCCUGAGAGGGGGCUUCGUCAAGGUGACCCUUUCUCUCCAUAUCUCUUUCUUUUAUGCGCUGAGGGCUUCUCGGCCAUGUUACAAAAUGCUGAGAUGAAUGGGAGGUUGAUAGGAAUCAAAUUAUGUAAUACAGCCCCAAGCAUAAGUCAUCUUCUUUUUGCAGAUGAUUCACUUCUUCUCCUAGAAGUAAAUGCCGUCAGCAGUCGUGAGCUUAAUCAAAUUCUGAACUCCUAUGAAGCUUGCUCGGGCCAGGCUAUAAAUAAGGAAAAGUCAGCCAUCUUGUUCAGCAAGAAUACAAAGCUGGAGGACAAAGAGGAGCUCAUGAAUCAACUCAAUAUUGUUAUAGAAGGCUUCUCGGGAAAAUAUUUGGGUUUACCAUGCUAUAUUGGUAGAUCAAAAACCAAAGCUUUUGAAUAUAUCAAGGAAAAAGUAUGGAAAAGGUUACAAGGUGGGAAAGAAAAAUUGCUCUCAAAGGCCGGUAAGGAAGUCCUCAUCAAAGCUGUAGCGCAAGCAAUCCCUGUUUAUGUGAUGGCAUCUUUUGACCUCACCAAAUCUCUAUGUGAAGAUGUCAGCUCAAUGAUUGCGAGGUUUUGGUGGAGUCAAUUGGAUAAAGAAAAUAAAAUCCACUGGGUUGGAUGGGACAAGCUGACAAAACCCAAAAAGGAUGGAGGGCUGGGAUUUAGAGACCUAUAUUCUUUCAACUUAGCUACGUUGGCAAGGCAGGCUUGGAGAAUGCUGCAAAACCCAUCUUCCCUAUGCGCUCAAGUGAUGGCUGCUAAAUACUAUCCAAAUCAGAAUCUAUUACAAGCGAGGCCAAGAGAUGGCAUUUCAUAUAGUUGGAGAAGCAUUUUGAAAGGAGUGCGGGUGUUGCAAAGUGGAAUCAUAUGGAGAGUAGGAGAUGGACGCAGUAUCAAUAUAUGGGCAGAUCCUUGGCUACCAAGGGGUGUUUCUAGGAGAGUAAUGAUGACCCGCAAGUAUACGGGAUAGUUGUAGCCUCUUUCGAUAAGUGAGAGUGUCGAACCCAACGAGGAGCUAAAGGUAGAACAAAUACUCUCUCAAGUCCCAUCGGCCACUGAUACGACUCUACGCACGCUUGACGUUCGCUUUACCUAGAACAAGUAUGAAACUAGAAGUACUUUGUAGGUGUUGUUGGAUAGGUUUGCAAGAUAAUAAAGAACACAUAAAUAUAAACUAGGGGCUGUUUAGAUAAACAUGCAAUAAAGUAAAUAAAGCGAGUGUGGAAAAGUGGUGGUAGGAGUUGUGAAAUUGUCCCUAAGCAACUGACUACGUUACUAGACCGGUAAUCACUAUUGCAAUUCUAUUUGAGGGAGAGGCAUAGGCUAACAUACUUUCUCUACUUGGAUCAUAUGCACUUAUGAUUGGAACUCUAGCAAGCAUCCGCAACUACUAAAGAUUCAUUAAGGUAAAACCCAACCAUAGCAUUAAAGUAUCAAGUCCCCUUUUAUCCCAUACGCAAACAACCUACUUACUCGGGUCUGUGCUUCUGUCACUCAUGCCACCCACCAUAAGCAAAUCAUAAAUAUAUUGCAAACCCUACAGCGGGAAUCCCUCACGCUUGCGUGACAAGGAGGGCACAAUAGGACAGCACCAAUAAUAAAACAUGCAACUCAAACCAAUCAUAGCAAUUCAUCAAUCACCGAUAGGACAACAAAAAUCUACUCAGACAUCAUAGGAUGGCAACACAUCAUUGAAAAAUAAUAUGAAGCAUAAAGCACCAUGUUCAAGUAGAGGGUACAGAGGGUUGCGGGAGAGUGGACCGCUGUAGAUAGAGGGGGGAAGGUGAUGGAGAUGUUGGUGAAGAUGGCGGCGGUGUUGGUGAAGAUCGCGGUGAUGAUGAUGGCCCCGGGCAGCGUUCCGGCGCCACCAGAAGCAAGGGGGAGAGAUCCCCCCUUCUUCUUCUUCUUCCUUGACCUUCUCCCUAGAUGGGAGAAGGGUUUCCCCUCUGGUCCUUGGCUCCCAUGGCUUGGGAGGGGCGAGAGCCCCUCCGAGAUUGGAUAUAUCUCUCUGUUUCUGCGUUCUUAGAUUCUGCCCCUUCACCGUUUUUUUAUAUCCGGAGAUCCGUAACUCCGAUUGGGGUGAAUCUUUCGCCCAGAUCUUUCUCAUAAAAUUAGAUUUCUUGCAGCAAAAUAAGAGCGUUAACCGCCUUACGGGGGGCCCAGGAGAGUCCAGGGCAUGCCUGCCUCCCUGGGGCGCGCCCCCUAUCUCCUGACUCCCUCGGGCACCGUCUCGCGUUGAUUUUACUUCCCAAAAAUCACAAAUAUUCCAAAAUAAUUCUCCGUCCGUUUUAUCCCGUUUGGACUCCGUUUGAUAUUGGGUUUCUGCAAAACAAAAAACAUGCAACAGACAGGAACUAGCACUGGGCAUUGGAUCAAUAUGUUAGUCCCAAAAAAAUAGUAUAAAAAGUCGCCAAAAGUAUAUGAAAGUUGUAGAAUAUUGGCAUGGAACAAUCAAAAAAUGUAGAUACGACGGAGACGUAUCAAGUAACAUCUCAACAAGGCAGCCAUGUUAUCACAAAGGUUUCAGAUUUGAUUGACCCUACCUCUGGCACAUGGGAUUUACAACUAAUUGAUCAAACUUUCAACAAAGAAGAUGUAGAGGUAAUUGUCCAAAUUACGAUCCGAGAGGGCGCUAAGGACACUCCUGCCUGGCAUUUUGACAAAAAUGGUAUAUUUUCAGUAUAAUCUGCAUAUCAAGUAGUGUUGGAAAACCAAGCCAGGAACUCUGCACAUGGUGGAGCUUCGUCAUCAAGCAAGAAUGAUCAGCAUAGGAUAACAUUUUGGAAGAAACUAUGGACGUUGCCCUUGCCCAACAAGAUCAUGCACUUCCUAUGGCGACUGGCCCAUUAUAGCUUACCUCUAAGAAUGAAACUACAGAAUAGAGGAAUGGAAGUGGAUACAAGAUGUCCAGUAUGCCAUCGAAUGGAUGAAGAUGGAGGUCAUUGUUUCCUAAAGUGCAAAUUUGUCAAGGCCGUUUGGAGAACUGCAUUGUUGGAAGAAACUCGGAUGCAACUUCUCAAUUGCCCAAAUGCCAUCUCGAUGGUGGAGGAUAUCUCUGAAAGUAUGCAUCCUUUUGUGGUUAUGGUGGUCUGAAAGAAACAAAGCUAAUCAAGGAGAAAGGAAUAGGACUGAAGAGGAAAUUAUAUAUUUAGUUCAGCUGCACUUGUUGGAAUACAAAAAAUACAUCAAGCGACGGGAGCAAAAUGUGCAGGCUGUAAACCAGGUUUGGUGUCCUCCCCUUGAUGAUUUUCUUAAAAUUAAUACUGAUGGAGCCUUUAGGAUGUCAACUAAAUCAGGAGGGUGGGGUUUUACCAUAAAAAAUAAUCAUGGAAUUGCACUAGUUGCAGGAGCAGGGAGUUUGGAAAAUGUUGCUGAACCACUACAAGCUGAAGCUCUGGCCAUGCUCUAUGCUGUGAACGAAGCGUCAAGAAUGGGGUGCCAAAAAGUCAUCUUAGAGACGGAUGCAGUUGCUCUAAAGCAGGCAAUCACAAGCGACCUGUACGACUACUCAAGCCUAGGCGUGCUGUUUAAAGAGAUAAGAGCAGUGUUCAGUCAGCUUUUCAAUCUUGUAAAGUAGAAACCUGCCCACGGGCAUGUAAUAUUUCUGCACACUGUUUAGCUGCUCAUGGUGUAUGUAUGGAGCGGAAGAGCUAUCAGAUUUGGCUUGAUCCAUUUCCGAGCCAUGUAACAAAACUUGUCGCGGGCGAGUCUAGCUUGCCUUGGUAAUGGAAUACACUUCUGUUUCUAAAACAAGGCAACCGCAAGGACCACGCAACCAAGAGGGUGGUACUGUUGCUCUCAACCUUCCCAAUGGCCGAGCAUGUGCACUCAUCGGUUGUUCGUAGCCAAGAUAUGUGCAUGCAUGACUCUAGUUGAGUUGAGGUUGAGGCUCUCCUUCCACACCAUAAGUCAGGGGGCUCUAGCCCCCCCUCCCCCCCUUUCAAAAUUCCACACUGUUUACCUUGAACAAUUUUUUAUGUUUCAGUACUGAAAGGAUCGAUACGGUCGACUAGAGGGGGGGGGGGUGAAUAGGAGACUACAAAUUUUAAUCUUUCUUGUAGAUUUUAAGGCUUAGCGGAUAAAAGAGUUCACUAGAUAUGCAACUAGGUGAAUGCAACCUAUAUGACAAGCAAGCUCCAAGAUAAAUAUACUAGGCAAUAAACUACUUAGCAAGCCAACAAGCAUACAACAACAAGGAAAGGUGCGGGAAAGGAUUAACCACAAGUGAGACGAGGACGCGGAUUUUAACCCGAAGUUCACUCUUCCUUGGGGAAGAGCUAAUCUCUGUUUGGAGCGGUGCCGGAGCCAAAGCUUGCGGAACGCCACCAAAGGCUCACCGUAUUCUCCUUCGAGUCACCCCCAACGGAUGAGCCUCGAAACACUCGGGGUUGGUCUUGAAGGCGACCACCACACCUUUACAAACUUCUCCGGAGCACACCACAAGCAAGGAAGCUUCCGGAGGAACCUCUAGCCCCCUAGGAGCCCAAGCUCCAAGAGUAACAAGUCAAUGGGGAAGAAAUGUUGCGGGGAACACAAUUUGGUUUGGUCAAGAUGUAGAUCGGGUCUUGCUCUCCCAAUCCCCAAAGUUUCAACAAGUUUGGGUGGAGGGAUUGAGAGUAUUGAGCAAAAGGGGGUGUAGCAAUGGUGGAGCUCAACAAGACAUUAGGGUUGGAGGUUGGAUGUGGAAGAAGGGCCUUUAUAUAGUGUUCAGGGGCUGGUGGGGAUUUCUGCCCGUUGGACCCCGUGCGCACGGGCUAAGUCAGCCCCGUGCGCACAGGGUACUCAGAGACAAUCAUGCCACCCCGUGCGCAGGGGGUACCCAGAGAGUUACGCAGUACCCCGUGCGCACGGGGGUCAAAAGACCCCGUGCGCACGGGGUACCCAGUAGCUUUCUGUUGCAACUUUCUGAGUACCAUAGCAUACACACUAGGUCCUUAUUAGGUGGUCGGAGUGGGAAGGGUAAGAGAGUAAGGCUCGGCAAUGGCAUUCCCACACGACAUUUAUCCACACAAACCCCUCUUAAUAGUGCGGUCUUUCCUACGACUCGAAGCAAACCAAAACUAAACCUUCGAAGCGUCGAAAGACAACGCCUUUGUCCUUCUUGAAAUGGGGGGUCGCACAUCUCCAUCUGGGCACUUAGAACCAAUAACCUGAGAUAAACUUUAGCAACCGAUAUUAGUUCAACUAACCACAUUGUCAUCACACCAAAAUAAAGCAUAAGUGCCACUCGCACUUUCAAUCUCCCCCUUUUUGGUGCAUUGAUGACAACGUGGUUAGAGCAUGGCAUAGAGGAUAAAUAGAUAGAAAGCCAUGGAACAAAUAAUGAUCAUGAUAGCUCCCCCUAUAUAUGUGCCCGAAAACAAGAAUGCAUCUAGAACACCCAUAGGAGGUUCGACCAAGAUCAUUAUUGAAAAGUCAUGAGAUUCAACAAAAUAAACCUAUAACGGUGCCUAGAACUCAUGACACAGUGUGAUGAGCAAAUAAUGUGAGACCCAAUAAGCAUAAGAGGAUAAUGGCAAGGUUAAAUAAUAAAGCUAGAGUCUCACAACCACACAGACAGAAGGUAAAUAAGAGUAUCUCAAGCCAACUAAAACCAACCAACAGCGAGAAACACGAGGCUUGAGAUCUCAACACACCCACGAACGCACACCACACACCACUUCUCCCCCUUUGUCACCAAGACAACAAAAAGGAGAUAAAUGGCAACACGGGACCCAUUAGACAAGAGGAGGAGCACUCGAGGCAUCAUUAUCAUCAUAAAAACGCCACCCGGCCAUGGGGAAAGAUCGAGCAGUGGCCUCACUGUCGACGUCCUCUGAACCUGGACCGAUUUCCUCACCAGCAGCAGCCCUUGCUGCCUUCUACUCACGUCGAACAAGCUUCUCCUUGUUGAUUUCCUUGAUCUGACGAUGCUGAAUCGACUGACACAUCUUGAACAUGUUGCUCAAGGUCUUGAACAGUGACUUCUUCUCUCCCUUGGCAAAGAUGGCCUCAGAGCCAACAGACUUGGCCCGACCACGAGGGAUCCGUGCAGUAGAGGACAUGCCUGGAGUGUAGGUAGCACGAUCCUCAGGCCUAGGGUUGCGCCCCUUCUUGAUAGGCACAUAAGGAGCAGGAGCAGCUGGGGUCCAGUUGGAGUUGCGCUUGAGAACAGAAGUCUUGAAGCUGGCAAUGUACUUUGCUGGACAGACGGUCUCAAUUAAUGCCUGUAUGAAAGGAGCAUAGAUCAAGGACUUGUUCUCUUGUACACACUGAUGCAGCUCGUAGUACAUGAAAUCCAGAACAUCCACUUUCUUCUUCUGAUGAAGAUACACAAAGACAUCAAGCAUGGAGCUCCGAAUGUUAUGGGAAUCCCCGGCCUUUGGAGUGAGGGUAUACCUCAGGAUAUGGCGCAUGGUAUCAUAGAGGGGCAAGAGGUCUUUGAUUGACCCAGUGACAAAUGACUUCUCUUGUUUGUAAGCAAAGGCAAUCUCAUCUUUAGUGCGCUGCCCACUUUCCUGAACAAUGCCAAACUCAUCAGAAACGGUCUCUUCAUCCAUGAACGGGUAGGGAAUGAUCUCAGAGAACUUUGCCAUAGGAGCUGAGCACUGAUGCGUUCCAGACAUCCAUGUGAGGGUGCGAGCAGAAUCAUUGGAGAAGUACAGAGUGGCAAAGAACUGCAUCACUAGAUCUUCAUUAUAGGGGUGGUUGAAGGUGACAAACGGAAUCAGACCCAGUCGUCCAAGAGCGGAGUACACACCGGGAUACAUAUGAUCGUUGUCGCGCAAACUCUCAGUGUUGACUUGCUUGUGAGGAGCAAACUUCUUUGACUUGGUCAUAAGAAGCUCAUGAUAGACCCUUUGCUGAAACUCAUUCUUGAACCGGGGAUCCACUCCCAUACCAGUGGUAGCAACAUACGGAUGGCUCUGUCUCUCAGCCCAGAUCUCUGGCUUGGUCCACUUGAUAAGAGGCAAAUUCCGGAGAUCACGCCCGCCCGGAAUGGCUUGCUCCGGACUAGACUCCUCAUCCUCUUCUUCAUCUUCCUCACCACGAUCAUCUUCUUCUUCUAUCUCAUCAUCAUUAUUUGGAUUGGCAUAGUAAACAUCAUCUUGCGAGUCAUAUUCUUCCUCAGGAUUAUCGGAAGCCUCUACAACGGGCCGCUUUGAGGCAGCACGGCGAACACGGCCCUGACCAGACCCAGACCCCUGACCCAUGCCUUCAGACGGCUGACGACGAGCAAUGGUGAAGUCCUCUAAUCCUAUUUUUCCACGCUUGCGACGAAGCUCAGACCUCUUGUCAGCGGAGUCUGAAACACACGCAAACACCCAACAACACAAAGCACGAAACAGAAAUGAGUACAAGUGCAAGAUGAAUGGCAAGGAGAUAGACAAAAAUCUAGGCAAAAGUUCCUGGAUAGCCCGUGCACACGGGGGUUUAGACCCCGUGGGCACGGGGGUCCCGUGCGCACGGUACAGGACCAUGGGCACGGGGCCCCGUGCGCACGGGGUUCAAACACCCUGUGGACACGAGGGUCUCCCAGCAGCAGCCACUACCAGAAUGAACUCCGGGAGUGGGUGUAGCAGAGGGACCAGAGGAUCUAAGCACUAGACUUCUAUCUACUAACAGUUGAGACCAAACGAACCUAGGGAGCAAAGAAACCCUAAAGCUAGAGAAAAAGAUAGGUACACAAGGAGAUAGAUCAAGGAGGCAAGACCAACCGGAGGAGGACCCCAUCUGGAUGCAGAUCCACUAAGGAAGAACCCCGACGAAGCCCGGAGGAGCUCCGGCAAGGGGAGGCGACGGCGGCGGCGCUGGAGGCUUUCUGGGGAGUGGAGGGGGCGAAUGGGUGGAAAUGAACCCGAGCCCCCCCCCCCACGCCCCACCUCCUCAGGACCAGAAACCGCAGACCCCGUGCACACGGGCUAAGAGAUCCCCGUGCGCACGGUACAGAGCCCGUGGGCAUGGGGGCCCCGUGUGCACGAUACAGGCCCGUGCGCACGGGGUAAUCAGGAACUUUGACAUGAGUGGAUUUGUUUUAAAUACAGGGCUGAGUGUAUACUCUUACCCCUACUUCAUAAAGCACUCGGUCUACAUUUCUGAAUACGCCGCGAGGAAAGACCUAUCACUAUGGAAAGGGUAUAUGUGGAGCACUUGUACCAAAAGAUAAGCAAGGAGAACCAAACAAAAAGGAGGAAAAGAAACAACACACCACACAAGCGAAACAAACACGGACACAAUCCUCAAGCGUGGGCGGUGGCCGAGGCCACCAUGUUUGAGUUUACUUGGUAUGGCACCGCGAAGAUAUGAACCUUGGGCCCAAGACCAAUACUCAUCUUUGAAGCACAAGUACCACCUAAAGUGGCUAAUGUGAAAGAUUGAGUCUGUUUUAUGCACUUCCAGGAUAAGAUAGCUCAUGGGUUGAGCUAGCUCCCCCUAUACAUGUGCCUACAUCUAAGCAAGAUAGUACAUGAGUAUGUGUGUAUGAGCAAGAGUUUCAUCCGAAGUUACUAAUAUCCAUGAUAUUUAGCUCAUGCCUUAACUCGCGGAAUCUUGCUUCGUCAAGGGGCUUGGUGAAAAUGUCUACAAGUUGAUUCUCGGUGUUGACAUGGAGUAACUCAAUGUUUCCCUUGGCCACAUGAUCUCUAAUGAAAUGAUGAGGAAUCUGAAAGUGCUAGUUAUCAACUAGGGGGGGUGAAUAGGCGAUUUUUAUGAAAGUCUUCAAAACUUGGAAGUUUCGAAGACAAACAAUAGAAAUGACCUAAUUGAUAUGCAGCGGAAGAUAAACUACGACAAGCAAACCAUAGUCAAGUAUGCAAUGAGGUGAAAGUACAAGACUAAUAGCAGAUAAGUAGUAAGGAUCAGGAUGGAAGAUAGUAUGAAGCCAAUCAACGAUAGUAGUCAAGCAAUGAAGUCAAACAGGUACGACAGAUAGACAGUGACUACACGAAGAAAAACUUAAGUAAAGGAAGGGAGAGGAUGGAACCAGUCACUUGUUGAAGACACGUGAUUUGUUGGACCAGUUCCAGUUGCUGUGACAACUGUACAUCUGGUUAAGGAGGCUAAGAUUCAACUCAGAAGACCGCGUCUUCACCUUACUCCCCUUGAGCUAAGGACACACAGUCCUCGCCCAAUCACUCUGGUAAGUCUUCAAGGUAGACUUCCGAACCUUCACAGACUUCGUUCACCGGCAAUCCACAAUGACUCUUGGAUGCUCAGAACGCGAUGCCUAACCGGCUGGAGGAUUCACAGUCCUCAAGUGUAAUAAGUCUUCAGGUCACACAGACAGAAAGACUUCAGUGAUGCCUAACACUCUUUGGCUCUGGGUGUUUGGGCUUUGUCCUCGCAAGGAUUUCUCUCUCAAAGGCUUCGAGGUGGGUUGCUCUCAAACGACAAAAUCCGUGCACUAACUCUGAGCAGCCACCAAUUUAUGGUGUAGGGGGUGGGCUAUUUAUAGACACAAGGCAACCCGACCUGAUAUGUCCGAAAUGACCCUGGGUCACUAAGGAACUGACACGUGUUCCAACGGUCAGAUUUCAAACACACACGGCAACUUUACUUGGGCUACAAGCAAAGCUGACUCAUCCAGCUCUGGAUAAGAUUUGCUCUCAUUGUCUUCGCUCGAAGACAUAGGAUUUGGGUUGAGCAUCACUUCAGUCAUUCUGACUUUGUUCACUUGGACCCCACUUAACAGUACGGUGGUUCCUAUGACUCAACAAAGAAGAAAAAGGAAACGACGAGACGACACAGUCUUCGCGCUCCAUAGUCUUCACUCAAUGUCUUCUCAUGUCAUAGUCUUCAAUAUGAAUAUCUUCAUAUUCCACCAUUGUCUUCAAUGUCUUCAUAUAUUUUUAGGGGUCAGCUCCGGUAGGUAAACCGAAUCAAUGAGGGACACUACCUACGUUAUCCUGCAAUUCUCACAAACGCAUUAGUCCCUCAACCAACUUUGUCGUCAAUACUCCAAAACCAACUAGGGGUGGCACUAGAUGCACUUACAAUCUCCCCCUUUUUGGUGAUUGAUGACAAACUGGUUGAAGUUUUCAACGGGGAUAAAGUAUGUGAAAUUGUAAAGGAUAGGGUAUUGUCUUCAUAAGUAGCAAGGGCUCCCCCUGAAGAUGUGCAUAUAAGUAAUUUGCUUUUGGAAUGCAAAUGCACAUGGCAGGUUGUACUUGUGGAGAUCCACUUCAACUUAUGAAGAUAAUUCAUCAUGCAUGAAAUGAUAUAGCAAAUAGAAUGACAUGUAUAAUGAAAAAUGGAAGUCUGCAGAAUGAUCUAAGUGCGGAAGUUAUCAUCGCACAUGCGGAAUUUAUCAUCGCAUCACAGUAAAGCAAAUAAGUAGCAGACGACCAUCGAGUUUAAGUGUUACAACUCAAAGAACCAAAUGUAUCAAAAGCGAGAGUUGUAGGCACGAGGCAAAAUAUAAAGCAACCGCCCAUAUGAACCCACUUGAAGACUAUCAGACUCAUAUGCUUCUCCCCCUUUUGUCAGUAAGGACCAAAAAGGUUUGAAGACAUAGAGCAUCUACUCGUCCUCAUGAGUAGGUGAAGCAGCAGGGUUGUCGUUGUUGUUUGGUGGUGCAGACGUACUUGGUGCAGUGUUGAUGCGUGCAGAAGUAGGGGGCGGUGAAGUAGCAUCAUCUUCAUCAUCGAUCACUCUGGCAUUCACAGUUGUCGCGGAGGAAGAAUAGUCAGAGUCUUCAAGGGAUGGAGUUCGACGUAGGACAACAGUCCGUGGAGGAGUGGAGUCAAACUUGAAUCUUUCAGUGAAGCCAUCGUCUUGAAGAUCUGCUUCAGCACUAAGCAGCGUCAAACUCUUCCAUGAUUGCCGACAAGUCUCGUGUGCGAGAAAUGCAUUCUUGGUGGCAAGAUUUCGAAUGCGAUUGACGUCCACCAAGAGGCUUUGCAUCUGUCUCUUGAGCCAAAAGUGAUGCUUAUCUUGUUUCUGAUGAAGUGCCACAAGAAGUUCUCGGUCAUUGAGAACGCGAGAGCGCUUCGGAGGCCUUUGGGAAAUGGUGCUUUCAGUAGCUUCAGUUUGUGCACGAUGAGGCAGACGAGUGUUCCCAGCCAUUGGAUAGAUACGUGUUACUGCUUGGACGCCUUCAAUGGGUUGAGUGAAGCUUUGGUGCUCGACAUUUUGAAGACAAAGAGGCUUCUUGUCAGGCUCAGAGUAUAUGGCUUCAACUAACAUAUCAACCUCUGGUAGAAAGAUCAGAUGAUUGCGAGCAGAGGGCUGAUAGUUGACAGAGGAGUGUCGCUUGAUGAGGCGCAUGACCCAUGGAGCAUAGAAUUUCAGGCCAAAAAGGUCAGAUCCAGACGCAGCAAGUUGCUGGAUGAAGAAUUCUUGUGAAUUGAAGCUGAUGCCAUUGAGGAUGUAAAAGACCAAUGUCUUCAUGGCUCCUUCAAGUUUGGUCGCUGAUGAAUGCCCUUUGAUAGGCCAUAGAGUUUGCCUGAUGAUGUGACAGAUUGUGCGAGGCAGAUACUCAAGGUCAUCAACAAAGAACUCCUUUGGGUAUUCAGUGUCAGAUGGCAAAGGCUUCAUCAUGCUCAACAUCUGGCUCAUGUUGGGUUCUGGCUUAUGGAAGAUGCUCUCCAGUGCAUUGCGGUGGAGUUGACAAUCAGGUUCAUACAGCUCUCCAGGAGUGGGUAGGCCUGUAAGCUCAAUGACGUCAAGAGCUUUGACUUCAUGAUGAACAUUUCCGGUCAUCCACUCAAGAACCCAUGUUUUUAUAUCCCUGUUGUAGCCGCGAAUGUGGAGGGUAGCAUAUAAUUGAAGCAAGAGUUCCUCAUUCCAAUGUUCUUUGUCUGUCACAAAGCUGAGUAGACCUGCAUCACGGAAGCAGUCAAGUGCUUCUUCUAAGCAUGGCAGUCCAGCAAUGGCUUCAGUGUUGAGGCGCAUAUGAGGGAAAAUGCGCCCUUGAUCAUACAGAAUGCAGGAGUAAUAGCUUCUCUGCUGAUAGCUCCAGAAAUGAUCAGAUGAUAUUCUUUGUUUGGAGUAGGGGUUCUUUGCGCUGUCAAAGAAGGUGUUGUGGCUUUUGAAGCCAUUUGCAUUGAAGGACCCUGUAGAGUUUGCAGUACCUGGGAACCUUGGCAGUCUUGGCUUUGGUUUCUGGACCUGAGGCCUAUGCUCAACAUGAUAAUCAAACUGAGGACCAGAGGCAGUAGGCGGAGGGACCAGAAUGGGCCAUCGGAUAGUGGUUAGCUGACCAUGAUUGUAUGCUUUCUCAAUUGUAUAGGGCCUUGGUGGCGGAACAUGAGCAGUGACAACAGCUGAGGCUUCAGGCUGCACAACAGACACUUGAGGAGCAGGUGCAGCAUUGGCUUCGGGCACACUGGUUGGUGCAGGCUCCACAUUCACUUCAGCCAUGAUUAUAUCAUUGGCUUCAUUUGUGUUGGUGGUGGCAGCCUCAGCAUUUUCAACCCCCACUUGAUUAGCUGGAGGGUCGGGCACUAGCACGUUCACAUCAGGAACAACUUCUGCAGUACUGGGGGGAGUAGGGACAUGUACGUCUUCUUGAUUGUCAUCGGCUGAUGCAGCCGGAUUGUCUUCAGCAGCUUGGGCUUCAGACACGGAGACGUUCAUAGUUGGAGUGGCUUCAGGAAACACUUGACGUGCAACAGGUUGGUGAUGCACUUCUCCUUCUGGAACGCUCGAAAGAGGGACUUGAGGCCUUUGUCCUUUGCGAAGCCUACGGAAUGCUGGCAAUGCCUUUGGAGAUGGAGUUGGCUGGGCCUCAAAGUCUUCUUCUUCUUGCACAGGUGGUGUGACUUGUGGUUGUUGUUGGGGAGUACUUGGGGAGUCUUGUUGCUGUGGGUGAUCAGCCCAUGAUGCAUCCUGAGCAAUUGGCGUCAGGGGACGACCAAUGCUGAUGAGUUCGCUGUUCAUGAGAACAGGCGAUGAUACCAAGUUGUGUUCGAUCUGAGGAAGAACUUCAUCAUCUUCAACAUUGUCAUGGUGACCAAUGUCUUCAGCAGCGGUGGGAUCGACUGCUGGAAUGUCUUCAGCUUCAUGAGCCUCUGUGGAAGCAGGCUCAUGAACUAUCAUCCGUCGUUCUUGGUGUUUAGAUGCAGGGCGAACCACUGAGAUAGGUUCAACAACUAAGGGCUCUGUGGGAGCAGCCCGAUUCUUCUUGGUUUUGCGCUUAUUCUUGGAGGGAGCAACAUCAGAGGCUUCAGUAUUCUUCCUUUUUCUGGCUUCAGCCUCGGCAGCCCUCGUCUUCUUCUGUUCUGAAGCGGUUGACAUGACCUUUGGCUUUGAGCCAGUCAUGCUGCUUGGGAAGAUUAUGCGAGGUGCUUCCUGCCCUGAAGGUGCAGAUUGAGCAGUAGAUAGCUUCUUCUUCUUUGCAGCCAUUCUGGGGUCAAUGCCAGGACGACCAAGAGACUUGCGCUUCUCAGCCUCAUUGUAGGCUAGCACACAUUUGUCAGCCAGACUCUUCAUACGCUCACGAGAGCCCUGAGCUUCUUCGCGCUUCUUGAGAAAGGCUUCUUUAAGCUCGUGCAGCAUGGUCUUGAAGUUUCUGACAUCUUGCACGCUGAGCUUUGCCACAUGCUUCUUGAACUGAGCUUUCUCAUAAUCAAUCUUGUGCUUCAGCUCAACGAUGCGCUGAGCGAGAGUAGCUCAGAAGCAAUGGCGCCAUUGAAGGAGACGCUGAGGCCAAUGGGAAGCUACAGAUCUUCAAAGCUGAGAUUUGGGGUGUCAAAUCACUCAUCAAUGAAGUUUUGGAUGAUUGCCACAUCGAAGAGAGGCAAGUUAUUGAAGAUCUCUGCUUCUUCCUUGCUCUUGAUCAGUUGCUCAAGGGCAUCAUCUGCAAGAUCUUCAUCGCUGGACAGAUCAAUGGGUUCUUCUCGCAGAAUGGCAGCAGGAGUCAAGGUCUGAUCAGUAUGCUUGAUGAUUUUAUUUGCCUUCUCCGUCUUCUUGAAGAUACGUGAUUGAUCUUCAGACUGCACACUGUCUUCAGGAGGUGCAGUGGCCAGUGGCUUCACACGUGAAGCUUUUGGAGGUGCAACUGAUCUUGAAGCCUUAGGCUUCUUUAGCUUCUGCGGCUUCGGAGGAGGAGCUGGGGCUUCAUUAGUGUCAGCAUCAUUAUCAGAAUGAUCCACUUUGGCACCUUGGACCAAGAUGUAAGUAAUGAGGCCAUCAAGGUUGGAGAAGGGGCCAAUGACAUUUGGAUCAGCAUCACGUGAGCCGUCAGCACGGGGAGCAGAGGGACCAGGGUUGAAGUCUAAUCCCAAUGACUUCUUGUUUUCCUUGGCCGAUGCCUUUGCGUGCUGGAAGUUGCGCUUGAUGAGAGUAUCGUCACGACACCAGAGCAAUGAUGAUGGGUCGGCAUUCUCAGGCUGAGGUCCACAGACCAUACAAGGAUAGAAACCCUGUGCAAUAGCUUCAGCUCUGUUCUUGGGUUGAAGGCCUCGAUAGAGAAUAUCACCCCAAGGACUUUUGAUAGCAUUCUUCUCUGCAUAUUCCUGGGUCACGAACUUGUACUUGAACCAUUCUUCAGCCCAAUAGCGUCAAAUCCAUUGGAUUCGUGUCUUGCGCCGAUGAUAAUUCUCCUCAGGAUCUGUCUUGUAAAGUUCUGCGAGGUCAUCAGGCAAAUAUUUUGAUGUUCCCCCACGACGCUGUCUGCCACCCUUCCUUACAGAUUUCUCUGCGGCCAUGAACUUCAAACUGAAUGGCUUCAAUACGUUCAAAGGCUUCAAAGACUUUCGCUUGCUGGACAAACAUGAACUGGCUUCGGGAGAGUUAAUGUGAUGCUGUAAGAAUUCUGCAAAUGAAUGCAGACUAUAAGAACCAAAGGAUUCUCCCACGGACAUGUACCUGUGACAGCAUUAGAGAUGCGAGGGAAGGGGAAGAGGUCAUAUGCAUUCUCAGAAGAUUUUGAAGAUAAAUCGGUUUGAAGACAUUGACCUCAUGAUGCAAAGACAUUCACUUAUAUGUUGAGAGUUGGUUCCAGAUUUGUACGAAUCCGUGAAUAAGUACAAGUGAGGAAUCAAACUAGAUAUGAAGUUUAAGUGAAUAGACUAGGCAGUAUGAGAUGCAGACAGAAGAGAUCUAACAAUGUGUAGGCAGAAACCACUUUUGGUAGAUAGCAUGAAUCUGUGAAGAUCAAAAAGGCAGUAAAAAUAGAGUUAUAUUUACCACACGAAGAACUGCUAGAUGGGAUGAACAGGAGACCGAGCAGUUCAAUCCACCGUGCCCUAACUUGGCGACGGAGGAUACCUACGGCGACGGCGGAGAGGACGAUAUCCGCAGCCGGCGUGAGGACGGCGUCGGAGAGGUCGCGACAGCUAAGCGCUUCGUCGCCGGCGUCGUCGAGAGCUAGCGGUGGCGCUAGGGUUUUGACGAGGUGGAGAGGUGGAAGAAGGUUUUCUUUACCGCAUGGGACAUGUAUUUAUAAGGAAGUGUGCGGCACAGCGCAAUUACGCAGGUGCCCCUGGCGGUUCACAUCUGAGGGGCACGUGGCAAGCAUGCAACAUACUCAGAGUUGUCCCACGUUCCCUCGCCCGCCAGGCAUGUCGGAUGGUUGUUCCGGCUUCUCCGGAUAUAGAAAAUAAAGAUGAGUCAUUUAAAACAGACUUAAUAUUUGUCUCUGUGUCUUCUGCUGACUAGGACACAGAGAAGACAUUCAACAGUUUCAAUAGAAUGCAUAUGAUUUGGACAGAUAGAGUUUGAGAUAGAAAGCAUAGAGAGAUUAGGGUCUGAUCACAUUCACUUAGUUCAAAAGAUUCAAAUAGGAAGACAUAGNNNNNNNNNNNNNNNNNNNNNNNNNNNNNNNNNNNNNNNNNNNNNNNNNNNNNNNNNNNNNNNNNNNNNNNNNNNNNNNNNNNNNNNNNNNNNNNNNNNNNNNNNNNNNNNNNNNNNNNNNNNNNNNNNNNNNNNNNNNNNNNNNNNNNNNNNNNNNNNNNNNNNNNNNNNNNNNNNNNNNNNNNNNNNNNNNNNNNNNNNNNNNNNNNNNNNNNNNNNNNNNNNNNNNNNNNNNNNNNNNNNNNNNNNNNNNNNNNNNNNNNNNNNNNNNNNNNNNNNNNNNNNUAUAUAUCGGAAAGCAAUCAAACCAUCAUAGUGAAGAAAAUCAUGAAGAUAAAUUGAAACUGAAGACUAACCAAAUGCGAAGUCAUUGCAAAAAUAACACCAUGAGUGAAACACUUCAAAUCGAGAAAUUUGGUGGUGGCGUUACCCACCUUAUAGGAAGUAUUAGACCCAGACACUGCGCACAAUUAUCGUGGCACUCCGAAGUCAUAUUCCACGUUAAUGUAUUCACACUUAGAGUGUAAGUCUUCAUUUAUUGAAGAUAUACAUUACUUCAUUGUUGCACAUCUAAGUCGUCAACAUGCAUAAGUGUUAGGAUGUGUGCCUGAUCACAGGACAUUUGAGGAUUCCAAGAUAUUUAGCUCACACCGUAACUUGCAAAACCUUUUCUCAUCCAAGGGCUUUGUGAAGAUAUCUGCCAGUUGCUCUUCAGUGUUGACGUGAAUGAUGUCAAUAUCUUUCUUCAUGACAUGAUCUCUGAGAAAGUGAUGACGAAUUUCAAUGUGCUUUGUCUUCGAGUGCUGGACUGGAUUGUUGGCAAUCUUGAUGGCGCUUUCGUUGUCGCAGAAGAGAGGCACUUGUUUCAGAUUGAUGGCAUAGUUCUUGAGAGUUUGCUUCAUCCAUAGAAGUUGAGCGCAACAGGAUCCAGCAGCAAUGUAUUCAGAUUCAGCAGUUGAGAGUGAUACACAGUUCUGCUUCUUUGAAGACCAACAGACAAGUGAUCGACCCAGAAAGUGACAUGUGCCUGAUGUAGACUUGCGAUCCACCUUGUCACCAGCAUAAUCAGCAUCCGAGAAUACAACCAAAUCAAAUUUUGAGCCCUUUGGAUACCAUAAUCCGAGUGUCGGGGUGUAAGCCAAAUAUCGAAGAAUUCGCUUCACUACUAAGUGAUGCGAUUCUUUUGGUGCCGCUUGGAAUCGAGCACACAUGCAAACACUAAGCAUAAUAUCUGGCCUAGAUGCACAUAGAUAAAGUAAAGAACCAAUCAUGGAGCGGUAUACCUUUUGAUCGAACUCUUUACCAUUAUCGUCGGGACCAAGAUGGUGUUUGGCUGGCAUUGGCGUCGUGUAACCUUUGCAAUCUUCCAUUCCAAACUUCUUCAGACAAUCUUUGAGGUAUUUUUCUUGAGAUAUGAAGAUGCCAUUCCUUUGCUGACGAAUUUGAAGACAAAGGAAGAAUUUCAGCUCACCCAUCAUGGACAUCUGAUAUUGCUCUUGCAUCAUGUAUCCAAACUCAUCACUGUACUUCUGGUUGGUGCAGCCGAAGAUAAUGUCAUCCACAUAUAUCUGGCACACAAACAAUUCACCAUCAUAUGUCUUCAUGAAGAGUGUAGGAUCAAGGGAUCCAGGUUUGAAGCCUUUGCUCUUCAAGAAGUCUUUGAUUGUAUCAUACCAAGCCCGAGGUGCUUGUUUGAGGCCAUACAGUGCUUUGUUUAGCUUGUACACCAUAUCAGGAUGUUUUGGAUCUUCAAAGCCAGGUGGUUGAGCGACAUAUACUUCUUCUUCAAUCUUGACAUUGAGAAAUGCACUCUUCACAUCCAUUUGAUAUAGCAAGAUGUUGUGGUGGUUAGCAUAGGCUAGCAGUAUGCGAAUAGCUUCAAGCCUAGCAACAAGAGCAAAUGUUUCAUCAAAGUCAAUUCCUUCAACUUGAGUAUAUCCUUGAGCCACAAGACGUGUUUUGUUUCUGACGACUUGACCAUGCUCAUCUUGCUUGUUUCGAUAUAUCCAUUUUGUACCAAUAAUGUUAUGCUUGCGAGGGUCACUUGACAAGUUCCCAAACAAUGUUCAACUUGAACUGUUGAAGUUCUUCUUGCAUAGCUUGAAUCCAUUCAGGUUCCAUGAAGGCUUCAGCAACUUUCUUGGGUUCUGAUAUUGAUACAAACGAAAAGUGCCCACAGAAAUUUGCUAACUGUGUUGCUCUUAAGCGAGUGAGUGGACCAGGUGCAUUGAUGCUAUCAAUUAUCUUCUCAAUUUGUACUUCAUUUGCAACUCGAGGAUGAACUGGACGAAGACUUUGCUCUUGCUGAUCAUUAUCAUCAUUGGGAGGAUUGUCUUCGGUCUGAGCAUUGUCUUCAGGUUGGUUAGGUGCAGAAAUGAUAAGUUCCUCUUUAGGUUGUGCUUCAGAAGGCAUGAUUUCACCAGUUCCCAUCAGCUUGAUAGAUUCGCUGGGCGGAGCUUCGUCUAGUGUACUUGGUAGGAGUUCUCUUUGUGAACCAUUUGUUUCAUCAAAUCGCACGUCCACAGUUUCGACGAUUUUGUAGUGAUAGAGGUUGAAGACUCUGUAGGAGUGCGAGUCCUUUCCAUAGCCAAGCAUGAAGCCUUCGUGAGCUUUAGUGCAAAUUUUGACUUGUGAUGGGGAUCCUUGAUCCAGCACCUAGCUCCAAAUACUCUGAAGUAGCUGACAUUUGGCUUCUUGCCAGUAAGGAACUCAUAGGAUGUUUUGUUCAUAAGCUUAUGGAUGUAAACACGGUUGAUGAUGUGACAUGCUGUGUCAAUAGCUUCAGGCCAAAACUUUCUUGGUGUCUUGUAUUCGUUGAGCAUUGUUCGAGCCAUCUCAAUGAGGGUUCUGUUCUUGCGCUCAACGAUGCCAUUUUGCUGAGGUGUGUAUGGAGCAGAGAACUCAUGAGUGAUUCCCAUUGUAUCCAGAUAAAGAUCCAAGUCCGGUGUUCUUGAAUUCAGUGCCAUUGUCACUUAUGAUAUGCUUGAUCUUCACGCCAUAAUUGUUCAUUGCUCGAUUGGCAAAGCGUCUGAAGACAUCUUGCACUUCAGUCUUGUAGAGAAUUAUGUGCACCCAUGUGUAUCUUGAGUAGUCAUCAACAAUGAUGAAGCCAUAGAGACAAGCAGUUGUUGUGAGGGUUGAGUAGUGAGUAGGUCCAAAUAAGUCCAUGUGUAAUAGCUCAAAAGGUUGAGAUGUCGUCAUGAUUGUCUUCGAGGGAUGCUUGGCCCUAGUCAUCUUUCCAGCUUCGCAGGCACCACACAGAUGAUCCUUCUUGAACUUGACACCCUCGAUGCCUAUGACAUGCUUCUUCUUGACUUGUGUGUGUAAGUUCCUCAUGCCAGCAUGCCCCAGCCUCCGAUGCCAGAGCCAGUAUUCUGAAGCUUUUGCGAGAAGACAUACGGCAAGCUGUGGACCUGCUGAGAAAUCUACCAUGUAUAGAUCAUCUUUUCGAUACCCUUCAAAGACUAGAGACUUGUCAGAUUCCAUUAGUACAAGGCAACGAUAUUUUCCGAAUAGCAUAAUCAUGUUCAAGUCACAAAGCAUUGAGACAGACAUUAAGUUGAAACCAAGGGAUUUAACAAGCAUCACUUUAUCCAUGUGUUGAUCCUUUGAGAUUGCAACUCUACCUAGACCCAAUACCUUGCUUUUACCAAUGUCAGCAAAUGUGAUGUGACUCUUGUCGGAUGGACGUAAGGUUGAGUCCAUGAGAAGACUUCGAUCACCAGUCAUAUGAUUUGUGCAUCCGCUGUCCAUAAUCCAUUCUAAAGCUUUUGGUGACAUACCCUACAGUGCAGUUAGGAGGAUAGGCUUCACAAGGAGUGUUGUGAAGCAUAAGCAUUUGACACACACAAGGAUUGUCACAGCUUAGAUCAAGGUUAGGACUCAUAGUAUGACUGGUAAGCGAUUCAGAUGUGAAAUAUAUAGUAAGACAUUUUAUCAUGCGUCCUUAAUGUUUUUUAGGUCCCCAGCAAUAGCAUCGGACGCCUGUGAUUGCAGACUGGAGACCUUUCUCUGCAAAAGAAAGUUAAUUCUUCUUCACCACCCACAUUUUCAGGGGUGGCUUAGAAGCAAUGAGUCUAAGUGCAGCAUCUGAGAAUUUUGGCUUUGGAGCCCUAGCAAAUAGCCUUGCAGGAGAUGAAUGAUACUCAUAUGAAUAAGCAGAAAAGUUCUUAGUUCUAUGAACAUAGUGGUUUGAAGACACACGCUCAUAUUCAUAAGUCUGAGUAUGAUUUCCCUGCAAAACAUAGGCGUUAGGGUGACUCAGGUGAGUCCUGUAUCUGUAUGAAGCCUUUGGGCCAUAUGAAGCCAUAGGUCUGGGGUUUGUCUUCUUCCUUGGUGGUGUCAUGACGACAUUCACAUGAAGAUUCUCAAUGAACUGCUUAGGUACCCAGAUCUUCUUCAUAGGUGGUCCAUUCCUGCAGUUAGUACCAAUAUACCUGGCAAACACUUCACCAUUCUGAUUCUUGAACAGCUUAUAGUUUGCAUCAAAGGAUUCAUCAAUGAUAAUAGGAUUAGCACAGGUAAAGCCAGAUAAGGUGGAUGGAUCCACUGAAGGUUCCUUUGCAGCAACCCAUGUGGUUUUGGGAUACUGCUCAGGCUUCCAGUAGGAGCCAUCAACAUUCAUUUUCCUCUCAAAACCAACACCCUCUUUCCUAGGGUUUCGGUUCAAAAUCUGCUUUUUGAGGACAUCACAGAGUGUCUGAUGUCCUUUCAGACUUUUAUACAUCCCUGUUUCAAGCAAUUUCUUCAACCUAGCAUUUUCAUCAGCAAUAGUAGUGGUAUCCUCUGCAGAGGGGUUAGUUACCACAUCAGUAGUUGAAGACAAUGCAACAGUAGCAGCAGUGGAACAUUCAGCAACAGAGGUAGCGUUAUCACGCUCAAUGCAUUUUAGACAUGGUGGUUCAAAUUCAUCCUGAGCGGGACUGAUCUGUUGAGCGCGAAGUGACUCAUUUUCUUUUUGAAGAUCUUCAUGAGCCGCUCUCAAUUUCUCGAGCUCUUGCUUCCUUUGAAGAUAAUCAUAGGAGAGCUUUUCAUAAGUGGUUGAGAGCGUUUCAUGAUGACUUUCAAGUUCUUGGUACUUAGCAUGAAAAUUUUUAUGUCCUCAACUAAGGACUGCGAACGUGUCAUUUCCGCGUCCAACAGGUCAUCGCUUUUGUCUAACAGUUUUUGAGUAUGUUCCAUAGCUUUUUGUUGUUCAGUUGCAAUCUUAGCAAGUGUUUUGUAGCUGGGUUUGGAUUCACAAUCAGAGUCAUCUUCACUUGAUGUUUGGAAGUAAGCAUCACGUGAUUUUACCUUGGCACCUCGUGCCAUGAAGCAGUAGGUGGGAGUAGGAUCGUCUUCGUCAUCAGCUUCAGCGUUGGUGUGGAAGUCAUUGUCUUCAGUGUUGAAGAUGGACUUGGCAACAUAAAUUGUGGCUAGAGCCAGACUUGCAACGCCAGGGUCGGACUCCUCUCCAGACUCCACCUCCGCCUCCUCAGAAGCAGACUCCUCCUCUGAAUCCAUUUCCUUGCCAAAAAAAGCACGAGCCUUGCCAGAUGAGCUCUUCUUGUGUGAUGAAGACUUGGAAGAAGACUUAGAAGAAGACUUUGAGAAUUUCUUCUUAUUCUUGUCAUCAGCAUCAUAUUCUUUGUUCUUCUUCUUCUUCUUCUUCUCAUUGUCCCACUGUGGACACUCAGAUAUGUAGUGACCGGGUUUCUUGCACUUGUGGCAGGUUCUCUUCUUAUGGUCAUGGGUGGAAGCUUCAUCAUUCCUUGAGCUGGAUCGUGAAGACUUUCUGAAGCCUUUCUUCUUGGUGAAUUUCUGGAACUUCUUCACAAGCAUAACAAUUUCCUUUCCAAUGUCUUCAGGAUCAUCAUAACUACAGUCAGAUUCUUCUUCAGAUGAGGAAACAACUUUUGCCUUCAAUGCGCGAGUUCGGCCAUAGUUGGGACCAUAGAUAUCUGUUUUCUCAGAAAGCUGGAACUCAUGUGUGUUGAGCCUCUCAAGUAUAUCAGACGGAUCGAGUGUCUUAAAGUCAGGACGUUCUUGUAUCAUAAGGGCAAGGGUGUCAAAGGAGCUGUCAAGUGAUCUCAGUAGUGUCUUGACGAUUUCAUGCUUGGUAAUCUCAGUUGUGCCGAGAGCUUGAAGCUCAUUUGUGAUGUCAGUGAGGCGAUCGAACGUGAGCUGGACAUUUUCAUUGUCGUUUCUCUUGAAGCGGUUGAAGAGGUUGCGAAGAACACUGAUCCUUUGAUCUCUCCGGGUUGAGACGCCUUCGUUGACCUUGGAUAGCCAGUCCCAGACUAGCUUCGACGUUUCCAGAGCACUCACACGGCCAUACUGUCCUUUUGGUCAGAUGACCACAGAUAAUGUUCUUGGCAGUAGAGUCCAGUUGAAUGAACUUCUUGACAUCAGUAGGGGUGACACCUUCACCAGUUUUGGGAACGUCGUUCUUGAUGACAUACCAGAGGUCGACAUCAAUGGCUUCAAGAUGCAUACACAUCUUAUUCUUCCAGUAGGGAUAUUCAGUUCCACCGAACACGGGGCAAGCAGCGGAGACUUUGAUUAUCCCUGCAGUCGACAUAGCUAAAACUCCAAGUGGUUAAACCGAAUCACACAGAACAAGGGAGUACCUUGCUCUGAUACCAAUUGAAAGUGCUAGUUAUCGACUAGGGGGGUGAAUAGGCGAUUUUAAUGAAAGUCUUCAAAACUUGGAUGUUUUGAAGACAAACAAUAGAAAUGACCUAAUUGACAUGCAGCGGAAGAUAAACUACGACAAGCAAACCAUAGUCAAGUAUGCAAUGAGGUGAAAGUACAAGACUAAUAGCAGCUAAGUAGUAAGGAUCAGGAUGGAAGAUAGUAUGAAGCCAAUCAACAAUAGUAGUCAAGCAAUGAAGUCAAACAGGUACGACAGAUAGAUAGUGACUACACGAAGACAAACUUAAGUAAAGGAAGGGAGAGGAUGGAACCAGUCACUUGUUGAAGACAUGGGAUUUAUUGGACCAGUUCCAGUUGCUGUGACAACUGUACGUCUAGUUAGGGAGGCUGAGAUUCAACUCACAAGACCGCAUCUUCACCUUAUUCCCCUUGAGCUAAGGACACACAGUCCUCGCCCAAUCACUCUGUUAAGUCUUCAAGGUAGACUUCCGAACCUUCACAGACUUCGUUCACCGGCAAUCCACAAUGACUCUUGGAUGCUCAGAACGCGACGCCUAACCGGCUGGAGGAUUCACAGUCCUCAAGUGUAAUAAGUCUUCAGGUCACACAGACAGAAAGACUUCAGUGAUGCCUAACACUCUUUGGCUCUGGGUGUUUGGGCUUUGUCCUCGCAAGGAUUUCUCUCUCAAAGGCUUCGAGGUGGGUUACUCUCAAACAACAAAAGCCGUGCACUAACUCUGAGCAGCCACCAAUUUAUGGUGUAGGGGGUGGGCUAUUUAUAGCCACAAGGCAACCCGACCUGAUAUGUCCGAAAUGACCCUGGGUCACUAAGGAACUGACACGUGUUCCAACGGUCAGAUUUCAAACACACACGGCAACUUUACUUGGGCUACAAGCAAAGCUGACUCAUCCAGCUCUGGAUAAGAUUUGCUCUCAUUGUCUUCGCUCGAAGACAUAGGAUUUGGGUUGAGCAUCACUUCAGUCAUUCUGACUUUGUUCACUUGGACCCCACUUAACAGUAUGGUGGUUCCUAUGACUCAACAAAGAAGAAAAAGGAAAUGACGAGAUGACACAGUCUUCGCGCUCCAUAGUCUUCACUCAAUGUCUUCUCAUUUCAUAGUCUUCAAUAUGAAUAUCUUCAUAUUCCACCACUGUCUUCAAUGUCUUCAUACAUUUUUAGGGGUCAUCUCCGAUAGGUAAACCGAAUCAAUGAGGGACAUCACCUGCGUUAUCCUGCAAUUCUCACAAACGCAUUAGUCCCUCAACCAACUUUGUCGUCAAUACUCCAAAACCAACUAGGGGUGGCACUAGAUGCACUUACAGAAUCUCAAUGUGCUUGGUCUUGCUAUGUUGAACCGGAUUCUCGGCGAUCUUGAUGGCACUUUCAUUGUCACACCAAAGAGGCACUUUGUCACAUUUGACACCAUAAUCCAUCAAAGUUUGCCUCAUCCAUAAUAAUUGGGCACAACAACUUCCGGCAGCAAUAGACUCGGCUUCGGCUGUGGAGACAGAUAUACAACUUUGUUUCUUUGAAGACCAAUUUACCAAUGACCUCCCUAGAAAUUGACAUGAACCGGAGGUGGACUUGCGAUCAACCUUGUCUCCGGCCCAAUCCAAAUCUGAGUAACCCAUUAACUCAAAUGAUGAUCCCUUGGGAUACCAAAGGCCCAAGUUUGGGGUAUGAACCAAAUAUCGAAGGAUCCUUUUCACUGCCGAAUAGUGGCUCUCCUUAGGAGCAGAUCGAAAUCUUGCACACAUACACACACUCAACAUAAUAUCUGGCCUAGAUUCACAAAGGUAAAGCAAGGAACCGAUCAUAGAGCGAUAUACCUUUUGAUCCACUUCUUUACCAUUUGGAUCAAGAUGAAGUCGACCAUUUGUGGCCAUGGGUGUCUUCUUUGGCUGGAUAUCUUGCAUUUUGAAUCUCUUGAGCAUGUCUUGGAUAUAACGAGAUUGAUUGAUGAAGGUUCCGCCUCAAUUGCUUCACUUGAAAACCGAGAAAGAACUUCAACUCUCCCAUCAUGCUCAUUGCAAAUUCCUUAGUCAUAAGAUUCGCAAACUCAACGUUAAUAGCAUGGUUAGUUGACCCAAAGAUAAUAUCAUCAACAUAUAUUUGGCAGACAAACAACUCUCCUUUUACCCUCUUUGUAAAGAGAGUGGAAUCUAUUACCCCAAUCUGGAACCCUUUCUUGCUUAGGAACGACGUAAGGUGAUCAUACCAAGCAUGAGGUGCUUGUUUGAGUCCAUAGAGUGCCUUAUGGAGUUCAUAAACGUGAGAGGGAUGAUCGGGGUCUUCAAAACUGGGAGGUUGCUUGACAUACACUAACUCCUUAAGAGGACCAUUAAGAAAAGCGCUCUUAACAUCCAUUUGAUAUAAUUUGAAAUCAUAAUGAGAGGCAUAAGCAAGCAAGAUGCGCAUGGAUUCGAGACGGGCAAUGGGGGAUAAAGUUUCACCAAAGUCCAAACCUUCAACUUGGGUGAAACCUUGUGCCACUAACCUUGCCUUGUUCCUUAUUACUUGUCCAUAUUCAUCUUGUUUGUUCUUGAAAAUCCACUUUGUUCCAAUGACAUUAUGAAAUUCCUUGGGUCUUUCUACAAGGUUCCAUACUUUGUUGUGUGUGAAGUUGUUGAGUUCUUCAUGCAUGGCAUCUAUCCAAUCCGGAUCGUCAAGUGCAUCUUCCACCUUAAGGGGUUCAACACAAGAGACAAACGAGUGAUGUUCACAAAAUUUUGCCAAACGUCUACGAGUAGUUACCCCCUUUUUGAUGCUUCUGUAGAUGUUCUCGGUGAGGUGUUGAAGAUGUUUCAGCUUGGCGGCCACUUUUUGCUCUUUGCGGUCAAGCUCUUCUUCACUUGGUUUUGGACUUGAUGAAGAGGCUUGCCCUUGAGAUUGCUUUAACCUUGGAGACACUCUUCUCUUUGCAACCACAGGUUCUUGCUCUGUAGGAAGUGAUGACGAUGAAGACACAUGUGGUUGGGGUUGAUCUUGAUCAUGAUCAUGACUUUGAGCUUGAUCUUGAGCCUCAACGAUUGGUUCUUCAUUAUUCGGAAGAGUUUGCUCUAGAUCUUGCUUAGGAAUAUGAGGGUCUUGAUCUUGUUCUUGGAUAGGUUCAUUAUUUCCUGAAGCAUCUUGGACAAGUGGUGUCGGUGAUGACUUUCCUUGUGGAGAAUCCUCAAGAGGGGCUCUUAUUCCUUCUUCUUCUACUUGGACAUGGGGUGUUUCUUGUGGGAGAAUGUGGCCUAUCCCCAUUGUCCUUAUAGCUUGUGAAGGAGCCUCAUCACCUACAACACUAGGAACAAUUUGCUCCAAGCGGGAGCCGUUAUCUUCAUCAAACUCCACAUUUACUGUUUCCUCAAUGCAUCCAGUGGAUUUAUUGAGAACUCGGUAAGCAUGAGAGUUUGAUGCAUAUCCAACAUAUAUGCCCUCAUAAGUUCUAGACUCAAAUUUAGCUAACCGGGAUUUUUUGUUUAAAAUGAAACACUUACAACUAAAUACCCGAAAGUAUUUGACGUUGGGCUUUCUCCCGAUUAGGAGCUCAUAAGGGGUCUUGUUCUUGAGCUUGCGAAGAUAAAGCCGGUUUGAAGCAUGGCACGCGGUGUUGAUGGCUUCUGCCCAAAGCUUGUAUGGUGAUUUGUACUCAUCAAGCAUGGUCCUACCAUCUCAAUAAGAGUCCGAUUCUUCCUCUCCGCAACCCCAUUUUGUUGGGGAGUAUAUGGUGAGGCAUAUUGGUGCUUUAUCCCCUCUUCACUCAAGAAAUCAUCCAUUGUAUAGUUUUUGAACUCGGUGCCAUUGUCACUCCGGAUUGCCUUGAUCUCACAGUUAUGUUGACGUUGAGCUUCUUUGGCAAAGUUGAUGAAGGUUUCUUGAGUUUCAUCUUUAGUCUUGAGAAAGAACACCCAAAUAUAUCUUGUGAAGUCAUCAACAAUGACAAGGCAAUAUCUCCUUCCUCCCAAACUAUCAUAUGUUGGAGGCCCAAAUAGAUCCAAAUGGAUAAGCUCGAGGGGCCUCAAGGUGGUGAUGAUAGUCUUCACCUUGUGAGCUUUUUCAUGAAGCUUUCCGGCAAUGCAAGCACUACAAGGACGAUCUUUGGCAAAAGACACAUUGGUUAGUCCAAGAAUGUGCUCCCCCUUUAAGAGAGCUUGUAAAUUUCUCAUGCCCACGUGGGCUAGCCUACGGUGCCAUAGCCACCCCACGUCGGCCUUGGCCAUUAGGCAUGUUGCAAGAUGAGUUUUCUCUUUCGAGAAAUCAACCACGUAAAGGUUGUCUUCAACAUGCCCAACGAAGACCACUUUGAGAUUGCUUCUCUUAAAGACGGUCACAUGGAAUUCACCAAAAUGUGAAUCAUAUCCGGCACGAGCCAAUUGAAUAGUUGAAAGUAAAUUGUAGUGAAGGGAUUGGACAAGCAUGACAUUUGAAAGAGAUGAAUCAUUAGAGAUUACCACCUUGCCCAAACCUAAUACCUUGCCCUUGCUAUUGUCACCGAAGGAGAUGUUCGAAGAGGCCUUGAGUGAAUCAACGAACUCCAUGAGCAUCUCCCUUUCUCCGGUCAUAUGAUUGGUGCAUCCACUGUCGAUCACCCAUUGAGUUCCACCGAAGACAUAGUCCUACAAUAAUCAAGCUUUGGUUAUAGGUACCCAUUUUGCAAUGGGUCCUGGCGAGUUAGCAACAAGGAUCUUGGGAACCCAAAUAGUCCAAGCAUAAUCAUCAUAGUUAGUUCCAACAAAUUUUGCAAAGGUAUGGCCAUCAUCUCCUCUCAUGAGAACAUAUGAUGGAUUGUUCUUGCCGGCAAAAUUCUUGGGAAUGGCCUUGUCCCUAAUGACCUUUCCAUUCCCAACACCCUUCCUUUCCUUCUCCUUCUCCUUGUGCCCUUCAUGCACAAACACUACCUUUUGGGGAGGGGAAGGAGUCGGACCGAUCUUCUUCUUGUUCUUCUUCUUCCUUUUCUUACCACUCUUAGAUGCGGGAUUAAACCCAACUCCCUCCUUGGAAACACACUCCUUUUGGUUGCUCAAGAGGUCGUUUAGAUUUUUCUCCCCUUGGAUGCAUGAUACAAGCCCUUUCCCAAUUUGAGCUUUCAACUUCUUAUUUUCCUCUUGAAGGAAAGUGCAAUCAUGAGCAAAGUUAGCAGUACAAGCAUCAUCAUUUAAAUCAAUAUGAGGUACGCAAGUGAGAGCCUUAAUGGUUGUAGCUUUUAGUUGGGCAUAAGACUCGGUGAGGGCAAUGAGAUCACCUUUGACAACCUUGGAACUAAUCACAAGGAACUCAUGCUCCUCAACAAGUCUUGUAUGGUCAACUAGAAGCUUUUCAACUCUAACGUUAAGAGCAUCUUUAUUCUCAAGAGCAAGUUGCAAAGCAUCGUUGGUUUUAACAAAGUCAAUUUGAUGAGCAGAUAAGGGUUCCUCAAGUGAUGCUCUCAUGACACUCUCUUCAUUAAGUUCGUGCUCGAGGAGAUCCACUCUCUCUUUUUCCUCUAUAAGGAGGUUCUCAACGUUCUCAAUAUCGUGUUCGGCAAGUGACUUAAGGAGAUCGCCAAAACGAGCACGAGCUUCACCAUGAAGAGUUUUCAUGAAAGCCAUUAAGGAUUCCUCAUCAUUAUCCACACCCUCCUCACACUCAUCCUCCACUAUCUCACAUGAGACAUUGGGAGUGUAGUUGUCGGGUUUCUUGGGUUCGGACUUAGCUUUUACCUCUUUGGACAUGAGGCACCGAUGAGUGAAUGGCUUGUCCUCGUUUGGAGAGUCGAAGAGCCCGGUGGUGGAGGAGGAGGUAGUGGCAUGCAUGGCAAAGGCGGCCGUGCCCACUUGAUCAUCAUCACCGUCAUCUUCAUCUCCAGACAUGUAUUCUUCAUGAACAAGAGCCUUGUCAUCCUUCCUCUUUGCAAACUUGGUGAACUUCUUCUUCUUAAGCACAAGCUUCUCGGACUUGUCUUCAUGUCUCUCAUAUGGACAAUCAUGAACAAAGUGUCUUGGGCUAUCACAAUUGUAGCAUUUCCUUCGUCCAAAAGAUCUUCCUUGAAGAUUUCUUCCUUUGUUUGCCAUGGUCCCGGAGUACUUUUUGACUAAGAGAGCCAAGUCUUCCGCAAAAUCAUUUGCCAGACACGAGGUGUCAUUAUCCUCCUCACCUAUCUCUUCACUCACUUCUUCCUCCCUUGAGGGUUGGCUCACCACUUUCUUGGCCUUCAAGGCAAGAUUGGAGUUCUUGGUUGCUUGAGCUAUUGCAAAUGUUUUCUUGGACUUGGUUUCCAAAAGAACAUGGGUAGAGAAGGUGUAAACAACUUGAGCCGAAGUCAGCUUGUGAUAGUCCGGACGUUGAUGAACCAUCAUGACCAUGGUAUGUUCCGUGAGAACCAUAGCAUCUAUGAACUUGUCCUUGAUGAAGUCAUCAUUUGCCCAAAUGCACCCAAAGGUUCUCAAGUUGAGCACAAGAGACUUCAACCUUCGGUAAACCUCUUCUGCGGACUCACCCUCAUUCCUCACAAAGAGAUUAACUUCUUGUUUGAGCAAGGCCAAACGAGAUCUUCGAAUUGCUUCAUCCCCUUCAAGAGCCUCCUCAAGGCAAUCCCAAAUUUCCUUUGCGGUUUUGAGAAGAGCAAUGGAAUCACUAUAGUCUUCAGUCACAGCGUUGCGAAGCAUGUUGUGUGCGGUAGCAUUGAGUUGAUCGUCAACUGCUUCUCUUGGAGUGAGAUUCAUUGGGUCCUUGGGGUUGAAUCCAUUGACCACAAUCCACCACAAUUGAGUUGAAGCACUGCGCAUGUGAGACUCCAUAUCUAGCUUCCACUUAGCAAAGGCAUUAGCUUUCAAAGGGGGCGGAGGCCCAACAUGAUUAAUGCGGGGAUGUUGCAAGGGUUGAGGAGAGUAAAAGGGUUCCACGACAUUGUACUUGUGAACUUGAGUACGAGACGGAGAAGCAAGAGGUUCCCUCGAGUCAUACGCAUCAUGAACUUCAUUUGGAUUAAACGAGUUUGAUGCGGACGUUGAUGGCUUUAAGCGGGCAUCAAUUUCCUCCUUGACCGAGGCCCGAACCUCUUUCAUCAUAGAGACUUUGAGGUCCGCAAACAUUGAAAGAAGAUCGGCCACGGUCAAGGGGACAUUCGGGUUAGGAGGAGCGGCGGGAGCAACGACAGGAGAACCAAGUGUCUCGGUCGUGGCGGGGGGUUGGUUUUGAUCAUCCUCCGCAACGGGUAAGUCACCUCCCUCAUUCCCUAGAUCGACCAUAUCCUCAAAUGUUGUAAAACCUUAUAUUAGAGCACGAGGCUCUGAUACCAAUUGAAAGGAUCGAUACGGUCGACUAGAGGGGGGGUGAAUAGGAGACUACAAAUUUUAAUCUUUCUUGUAGAUUUUAAGGCUUAGCGGAUAAAAGAGUUCACUAGAUAUGCAACUAGGUGAAUGCAACCUAUAUGACAAGCAAGCUCCAAGAUAAAUAUACUAGGCAACAAACUACUUAGCAAGCCAACAAGCAUACAACAACAAGGAAAGGUGCGGGAAAGGAUUAACCACAAGUGAGACGAGGACGCGGAUUUUAACCCGAAGUUCACUCUUCCUUGGGGAAGAGCUAAUCUCCGUUUGGAGCAGUGCCGGAGCCAAAGCUUGCGGAACGCCACCAAAGGCUCACCGUAUUCUCCUUCGAGUCACCCCCAACGGAUGAGCCUCGAAACACUCGGGGUUGGUCUUGAAGGCGACCACCACACCUUUACAAACUUCUCCGGAGCACACCACAAGCAAGGAAGCUUCCGGAGGAACCUCUAGCCCCCUAGGAGCCCAAGCUCCAAGAGUAACAAGUCAAUGGGGAAGAAAUGUUGUGGGGAACACGAUUUGGUUUGGUCAAGAUGUAGAUCGGGUCUUGCUCUCCCAAUCCCCAAAGUUUCAACAAGUUUGGGUGGAGGGAUUGAGAGUAUUGAGCAAAAGGGGGUGUAGCAAUGGUGGAGCUCAACAAGACAUUAGGGUUGGAGGUUGGAGGUGGAAGAAGGGCCUUUAUAUAGUGUUCAUGGGCUGGUGGGGAUUUCUGCCCGUUGGACCCCGUGCGCACGGGCUAAGUCAGCCCCGUGCGCACGGGGUACUCAGAGACAAUCACGCCACCCCGUGCGCACGGGGGUCAAAAGACCCCGUGCGCACGGGGUACCCAGAGAGUUACGUAGUACCCCAUGCGCACGGGGGUCAAAAGACCCCGUGCGCACGGGGUACCCAGUAGCUUUCUGUUGCAACUUUCUGAGUACCACAGCAUACACACUAGGUCCUUAUUAGGUGGUCGGAGUGGGAAGGGUAAGAGAGUAAGGCUCGGCAAUGGCAUUCCCACACGACAUUUAUCCACACAAACCCCUCUUAAUAGUGCGGUCUUUCCUACGACUCGAAGCAAACCAAAACUAAACCUUCGAAGCGUCGAAAGACAACGCCUUUGUCCUUUUUGAAAUGGGGGGUCGCACAUCUCCAUCGCGGGCACUUAGAACCAAUAACCUGAGAUAAAAUUUAGCAACCGAUAUUAGUUCAACUAACCACAUUGUCAUCACACCAAAAUAAAGCAUAAGCGCCACUCGCACUUUCAAGUACAUACACAACAUACUAUUUAAAUAACUAACAUGUUGAUUUAAGGUCCUUAUGAAGCCCUUAAGUACCUCACACAACUGGCUAGUGUUGAAAUUGAUGUCAGUCUCCUUUUGCUUGUUUACUAUGUAAUUUACAUGCAAUGGAAUCGAUUGUUUUUUAUGUGCCAAAUAACUUGCAUGUAUGGUCUGUGAAAGGAAACAAAACGGUUCCUAUGUCUCUUGUAUAUCUCUUGAGCUGUAGUCUAGUUUGCUUAUUUGCUAGUGUUUUCUGGUAGUGUCAACUACUCCUUGGUUGUUAUUUAUGUGUUAUUGGGGACUGACUUUGCAAUGCAACAUGGUUGAGAUGCUUGUUGAUAAAAUUGAAUGGCUAAGAUGCCUUGUAUGUUUAAAAUUGAAUGGUUGCAUUGAACUCUAGUGGUCGGCUUGUCAGCCAUAAAAGUUGAAAUUGAGGUCAAUGAAAUCUUUAGUCAUUGUUUGCCCUCGUUGUUUAAUUUAUUGAGUGAUGAAACAACCAACUUUUGGUUGAAGCAUCAACCAUUUUUCCAAAGAAUAUGAAUGUUGCUAUUUUUAUUUAUAACUAGUCACAGGCGCAAAACAUGUAGCAAUGAGAACUCAACAGGAACAUUCAUCACGUCUAGGUGGGUAGUAGCCAAUCUUCAUCGAUUUGAUAUUGUCCAAACCAACCCGAACCGGACCCAUUGCCAUCCUUCAUUAGCAUGGGAGGUAACUCAACUCUGUUUGUUCCAUUCUUUGAUCUGUAUGUAAUAACAUAUACAAGGCACACACAUGAACAAAUUGAAAUCUGCCAUAGGCCACGACUUGCUUCUAAUCAAUGCUAUCGAGAAUGAUGUCGAUGGUGAGCCGGUUGUUGCGGCUGAAGCAGCAACCAUAGUCGUGGAGGCCCUUGCCCAUGAAAAAGAAAAAAAAAGAAAUAUCAAUCUAACAAAAAGGAAAAGAAAAGGAAUCAAAACUUCGUCCGGGUUUAUUAGGCCCCUUUUAUUUGGAGCUUUAGUACAAAAUUGUAUUAAAGCUGUGUCAACUAAUUUGGAUCGGAGGGAGUAAUAUAAUGUAAAGUGUAUGUCAUAAAAAUUAUACUAGGGAAAAGCCCUUUCAAAUACAAAUCCAAUAAUAUACUUUUUGUUUCGUAGAAUUUAUAUUUUUGUUAGUUAAUAAAUGGUCAAAGUUUGACCCAAAAUACUAGGAGGGCCUAUAAAUCUGGACCGAGAUAGUACUUUCGAGGGCCUAUAAAUCUAGACCGAGAUAAUACUUCAGAACACGCGCUAGCCAAGGAAAUAGAACUAAAAAAGGCGGUCCUCAGAUGACCUAGCACAUGUGAUGAAACCACAUUGAUGUCACGUUAUUUCAUGGGAUGGGUCUGCUUGUAGUCAGAUGGCUUCACGUCUUUUCACAUGAUGGCCACAGUGGCCUGGUGGGAUGGAGCAACUAGCAUAGAAAAGCAGCUUCAGGUGCAAGAAUAGAAAAACGAAAUCUGAGCCAUUGGAUGGGAGAUGAUUGGCACAGAUCAUGGUGGAGGAGACUGUUCCCACUUAAUGUACAUUUGACGAAACACCCCCUAGAAAUAGAUAGAUAUGAACCCUCACUUUUGCAGUAACAACCUCAUGUCCCUCGUCCAUUUCCAAAUCUGCAGAACGUUGAUGCCAACCCUUUCAAGCAUGUCAAUAUUCCAUUAUAUGUGAAAAUUAAGUCACCCCCUUGACGCACAACUAAAUGUAUAUGUCAUACUGGAUCAUCCAAAACAGAACUACUAUUUUCUACGGAUUAUGCAACAUAAAAUUAAAGUCAACAUUAAGCUUAUCUAGUAAUAUGCACCCACAUCUGAAUAGGCUGGUCAAAAUCUAUGUGAGCAAGGUAUUCCAUUUCUGGGUCCACUUUGAUCAGUGGCGGAGCUAUGUUGGGGCCGGGGGGGCCGCUGCCCCCCAGCCUUUUACCAAUUUCUGAAGAAAUUUUUUUAGGGAGACUUAGAUUAGAACAUUUUUAGCAUUUGGCCCCCCCAGACACUGAUGAUUUGUGUUUCGCCCCCCCAGAGUUUUUCGGCUAGCUCCGCCACUGACUUUGAUCCACAUACAAUGAUACAUAACAUGAGAUGAUUAUCUUUAUUACAUGACCAGCAAAACUGAAUAUUAAGUGCUACUAAAAUGGUCACCGCUCAACGAGCAUUCUAAUUAAACUGUACUAGCUUUAUUUUUUAGAUCGUACACGUACAUGACAGAAUAUUAUUCAGUUGAACUUUGCCUCCAGCUCUAAUGCUUGUCGCUCAUCGAGCUUCAUUUGCAGGGUUAGAUAACACCAAAAGAAUAUGAUUCAGUUCAACAGAGGAACUAAAAUUAUCUUGCGGGCAAAUGAGCUUCGCCCUUGCUGUCAUAAACAAGAGAAGCCUUUGUUAAACACUUCUUCUGUCCAUAUGAACUUUGGAAGCUUCUGUUGACAGAGCAUCACUCAUCUACAAAAACACGAACAAGUUUAUAGUUCACAUCACACUACUAGGAAAAUGGUUAUAGAUGGGAUUGACACUAAUGGCGCACCAGAAAGAUGAUGCGCCAUUAGUAUAUACUAAUGGCGCACCACAAUCUGAUGCGCCAUUAGAGUUUAAACAACUAAUGGCGCAUCAUGCUACGGGUGCGCCAUUAGUAUCAAAUUUUUUUUAACUAGUGCGCCUGUCCAAACAUACUAAUGGCGCAUCCCGGCAAAGUGCGCCAUUAGUAGUUGUAACUACUAAUGGCGCACCAGGCAGCAGGUGCGCCAUUAGUAUAGAAUUUUUUUUUUGAACUAGUGCGCCUAUCCAAACAUACUAAUGGCGCAUCCUGCCCAAGUGCGCCAUUAGUAGUUGUAACUACUAAUGGCGCACCAGGCAGUGGGUGCGCCAUUAGUAUAGGAUUUUUUUUUGAACUAGUGCGCCUAUCCAAACAUACUAAUGGCGCAUCCUGCUUAAAUGCGCCAUUAGUAGUUGUAAGUACUAAUGGCGCACCAUGCAAGAGGUGCGCCAUUAGUAAGUGGGCAGCAACAAGAUAUUUGGGACAGCCUCUCCUACCCACACACUCACUUUCUCCCCACUUCAUUCUCUCCACCUCCUCCUUGUCUCGGGUGCCUCCUCUUUUUCACCUCAUUUCCACCAUAGAUUCAUUCAAAUUAAGUGGUUAAAUUACCUUGUUUUAAUAGGUAAGUAAGGGGGGAAGCUAUAUUUAGGUUGUUCUCCUUACAACAAUGUGCACAUGCACUUUUUACGGCCUAGCUAGAUCUAUGUAUGUUCGUGGUGUUGCAUAUGUUUGUGGUGUUGCAUAUGUGUUUGUGUUUGAAGGUGUACCGGUAUUUGAUAUGCGAUAGUUGCCAAUAUUUUGCCAGAAUGUUGAUUCAUUUUCGUUUCGGCGAGAAUUUUGGCAUUAAGCAUUCUUUUUGGUCCUAUUUUUAGGGAAGGUCAUGCCAAAUUUUUGUUUGGUUCUAAAAUAUCGUUUUGCUCUACCCCGCAGGCGACCAUGGUCCGCACGAUGACCGAAGGCAUCGUGAAUAGGUUUUUGAGGUCCGCGAAGGCCGAGAUGCUUCAAAAGAAUGAGACGGAGAUAAGAUGUCCGUGUCGAAGAUGCAAGCUGAAGAGCCUUAUUGCGGACCCGGAUUCCGGGCAGGUGCGGGACCACCUGCUGUUGCGUGGUUUCAUGGAUGGCUAUCGGUGGCAAGGUGAUGAAGAUGACUACGAAGUCGUCCAUGCGGGCCGGGCAAGAAAUGAGGAAGGGCAGCAAGACAACCACCGCGGCUCGGGCGGGCGAGAAGACGAAGAAUCCCCAGGAGAUGAUCACGACUGUGAUGCUGUACACAGUCAUCAUGUAGAAGAUGCAGGACAUGAUGAUGAGGAAGAUGCCGGAGCAGGCGACGGGCAUGAUCAUGAAGAUGAUGAUGCCGGCGGAGCAGACGACGCUGGACCAUCGAUGGGCUGGGUGCAGGACCCUCAUAUUCAAGAGCUGCUUCUCAAGAAGACGGAUAACGCAAGAGCUGCCGCCCGAGAGAAAGCCAAGAUGGAUCAACUUGAGUUAGACGCGGUUACUCCAUUGUAUGAAGGAUGCAGGCCCGAGGAUACCCGCCUGAAAGUAACGCUCAUGGCCCUGGAGAUGAAGGUAAAACACAAAAUGACCGACGCAUGCUUCGACGAGAACAUGUCAUUCUGGCACGAACGUCUUCCCAAGGGGAACAAGUGCCCGACCAGUUUGGAGGAGGCGAAGAAAAUCGUGUGUCCUCUGGAUUUACCGCACGUGAAAUACCAUGUGUGCAUGAACAAUUGCAUCAUUUAUCGGGACGAGCACGCGGAGUCUACAAUAUGUCCGGUGUGCGGUGUCACUCGAUACAAGAAGAGGAAGAAAGCUCCUCGAAAAGUGGUGUGGUACUUUCCGAUCACUCCUCGUCUGCAGCGGUAUUUCGCGGAUUCUAAGGUAGCAAAGCUCCUACGUUGGCACGCGGAUAGGGAGGAGAAGAAGCGAGAAGAUGACGCAAAUGAUCCGGAGAUAGAUAAAAAAGACAAGAUGCUGAGUCACCCUAAGGAUGCGAGCCAGUGGCAAGCAUUGAACUUCGAAUACCCAGAAUUUGGGAACGAUCCAAGGAACAUCGUGCUGGGCGCGAGCACCGAUGGAGUCAAUCCGUUUGGCAGCCAGAGAAGCACACAUAGCACCUGGCCUGUGUUUGUGUGGAUGUACAACCUUCCCCCCUGGUUGUGCAUGAAGAGGAAGUACAUUCACAUGAGUAUGCUAAUUGAAGGGCCGAAACAACCAGGGAACGACAUCAAUCUGUAUCUGGGGCUGCUGAAAGAGGAGCUUGACACGCUGUGGAAAACGCCAGCCAAUACGUGGGACGCCGCAGAGAAAGAAUAUUUCCCUAUGAGAGCCGCACUGCUCACGACGGUGCACAACUAUCUCGGUUACGGAUAUCUUGCGGGGCAGGUAGUCCACGGAUUUUCUGGAUGCGUAAGGUGCAUGGAUGACACAACGUAUCGCCAGCUAGAUAGAGAUCCCGGGUCUUCGAAAACCGUGUUCAUGGGACAUCGAAGGUGGCUUCGCGACGAUGACCCAUGGAGGAAACGCAAGGAUCUGUUCGAUGGUGAAACCGAACCCCGAAAACGCCCGUGUACGAGGAGCGGCGAGGAAAUAGACAAGCUGUUGAAAAAUUGGAAAGACUGCCCACUGCCGGGAAAGAAGCAAAAGGCGCCAGAGCCGGGAAAGAAGCGAAAGGCGCCAGAGCCGCUGCUGAAGGUAUGGAAAACGAGGUCUGUUUUCUGGGACUUGCCGUACUGGAAGAUCCACCGUGUGCCUCACAGCCUUGAUGUCAUGCAUAUCACGAAGAACGUGUACGAGAGUCUGCUUGGUACCCUGCUCAACAUGCCAGAGAGGACCAAAGAUGGGCCGAAAGCAAGGGCAGACUUGAAAUCAAUGGGCAUCAGGCAGGAGCUUCACGCUAUAUAUGAUGAUGAUGAUGAUGAUGAUGAUGAUGAUGAUGAUGAUGAUGAUGAUGAUGAUGAGGCGAAGCAGGACACAGAAAGUCGUCGCAAAGGCAAAAAGGCCAAGAAGACCGGAAAUGACUACCCUCCUGCGUGCUUCACUCUAAGUCAGGAGGAGAUCGAGCAGUUUUUCACCUGCCUCCAGGAGUAAAACUUCCUUACGGUUACGCGGGGAAGAUAAGCAGAUACCUAGACCCAGCGAAGCAGAAGUUCAGCGGGAUGAAGUCUCACGACUGUCACGUGCUGAUGACGCAGAUACUUCCAGUUGCAAUCCGUGGGAUCAUGGACGCGCACGUCCGUGAAACGCUAUUUGGCCUAUGCAACUUCUUCGACGUCAUCUCUCGGAAGUCGAUUGGCGUGAGGCAACUCAGAAGGCUACAGGAAGAGAUCGUGGUGAUACUAUGCGAGCUUGAGAUGUACUUUCCGCCCGCAUUCUUCGACGUUAUGGUGCAUCUGCUGGUCCAUAUAGUGGAGGAUAUCAUCCAACUCGGGCUGACGUUCCUGCACAGCAUGAUGCCGUUCGAAAGGAUGAAUGGUGUCAUCAAAGGAUACGUUCGCAACAUGUCACGUCCAGAAGGAAGCAUAGCCAGGGGCUUUCUGACCGAAGAGUGCAUCUCCUACUGCACGAAUUAUCUAGGCAUCAAGAACCCCGUUGGUCUGCCCGUCAACAGGCACCUCGGCAGGCUCGCUGGAUGGGGUCACCGUGAGGGUCGCCGCGAAAUGCAUGUCGACUUCGAGGGUCGACUCGCCGACUUUGAAAGAGCAAACCUAGUCGCGCUACAACACAUAGACAUGGUCGAUCCUUGGUUGGUAGAGCACAAAACCUUUAUUAAAAAGACGUACAAUGACCGAGGCCAACAGAGGACGGACGGAGAUAUACUCAAAGAGCACAACUCAUGUUUCACGCGUUGGUUCAAGCAUAAGCUUCUGUCGUACCCUUUACAUGAGGAUUCUUCCGCGGAAGAACAACUCAUAUUCGCCUUGUCACAGGGCGCCGAGCACAACCUGAUGACCUAUGAGGCGUACGAUAUCAACGGCUACACAUUCUACACCGAGGCCAAGGACAUGAAGAGUGAUGGUUAUCAGAACUCCGGGGUAACGAUGGAAUCCUACACCAGUAACGACAAGGACAGAUACUACGGAAGGAUCGAGGAGAUCUGGGAGCUGAGCUACGCUGGAGAGAAGGUCCCGAUGUUCCGUGUCAGAUGGGCCAAGAACGUCAUAAAAGAAGACCGGUAUUUCACCACCAUGGUUAUACCCGAAGCCAAAUCCAAGACCGCGGGCGCAAACGUCACCGCAAAAAAUGAGCCAUGGGUACUGGCUUCCCAAGUGGACUAAUGCUUCUUCAUUACCGACCCGCCAAAGCCCAGUCGUGUUGUCGUGAGGAGAGGCAAAAGGAAGAUCAUCGGAAUGGAUGGAGUAGCCAAUGAGCAAGACUUCGACAAGUACGGCGACCCGAGGAUCGAACAUGACGACGAUGAUGAAGUAGCAGCAUACACCACAAGAAGAAGCAGGACCACCCUACCUAAAGGACGUCCGUUCCACAGAAGAACUCCAUUUGCGAAAAAUAAGGGCAAGAAGAUUGUGAACAGAUAGCUAGCUAAGAUCGAUUGUAUUUAAAUUGUAGCCUUCAUUUCUCGAUUGUAUUUCAUGGGUACUUUUUGAACUAUCAUGAAUAUUUUUAAAUUUCAUGGACACUCGAUCUCGAUCCCCCUCCAUCUCGAUCGCUAUCCCACCUUGCCAGAUCCGGCCCCCCUCGCCGCCGAGCACCCCCCAGUCCACCGGCCGCCGCCGCCGACCCCCCGCACCCUCGAUUCCCCUACCCAACCGCCGCCGCCGACCCCCCGCACCCCGCGCACCGUCUUAUAAAAAAAAUUAGUAUCAAACAGCUUUUUAAAUGCUACUGUCUUAUAAAAAAAAUAUUACUGUUAUUAUUUAAACAAGUUUGAACAUAUUUAAACACAAAUAANNNNNNNNNNNNNNNNNNNNNNNNNNNNNNNNNNNNNNNNNNNNNNNNNNNNNNNNNNNNNNNNNNNNNNNNNNNNNNNNNNNNNNNNNNNNNNNNNNNNNNNNNNNNNNNNNNNNNNNNNNNNNNNNNNNNNNNNNNNNNNNNNNNNNNNNNNNNNNNNNNNNNNNNNNNNNNNNNNNNNNNNNNNNNNNNNNNNNNNNNNNNNNNNNNNNNNNNNNNNNNNNNNNNNNNNNNNNNNNNNNNNNNNNNNNNNNNNNNNNNNNNNNNNNNNNNNNNNNNNNNNNNNNNNNNNNNNNNNNNNNNNCUUUUUAAAUGCUAAAAAAAAAUUUGUGGAGCCCACCUCGAUCCCCCUCCAUCUCGACCGCUAUCCCACCUCGCCAGAUCCGGUCCCCCUCGGCGCCGAGCACCCCCCAAGUCCACCGGCCGCCGCCGCCGACCCACCGCACCCUCGAUUCCCCGGCCUACUCAACCGCCGCCGCCGACCCCCCGCACCGCGCGCACCGUCUUAUAAAAAAAAUAAGUAUCAAACAGCUUUUUAAAUGCUACUGUCUUAUAAAAAAAUAUUACUGUUAUUAUUUAAACAAGUUUGAACAUAUUUAAACAUAAAUAAGUAUCAAACAGCUUUUUAAAUGAUAAAAAAAAUUUGUGGAGCCUAGGAGUCGAACCCAGGACCUCCUGGUGUGAGAACUGGCUGCUGACCAGUCGAGCUAGUAGAGUGGGCUUGACGUGGAUAGGUUCUGGUAGUACAUAACCUUUUGGCUCGAGUUGAAAUAAAAAAAAUACUAAUGGCGCACCACGGUGAGGUGCGCCAUUAGUAUGGACAUGCUAAUGGCGCACCACAGUGAGGUGCGCCAUUAGUAUUGUGGCCCGAUCCCCCUUCGCCCGAUCCCCCCUUCGCCCGAUCCCCCCUUCCCUCUCCCCCUCGCCAGUUCUCUCCCCCUNNNNNNNNNNNNNNNNNNNNNNNNNNNNNNNNNNNNNNNNNNNNNNNNNNNNNNNNNNNNNNNNNNNNNNNNNNNNNNNNNNNNNNNNNNNNNNNNNNCCGCCUCGACGCUGCCCCGCCGCCCCGACGCCGCCUCGACCCCGCCCCGACGCCGCUGCCCCACCUCGACCCCGCCCCGUCCACACCACCGUCGCCGGGGCACCCGUCCUCCCUCCGCGGCCUCUCCGGCUGCUACGAGUGCCGCGCCAUCAACGUCGAGCCCGUCUCAAGGUCUGCCGCCUGCCUAUGCCUAUGUCAGAUUUUUCUGGUGCAAAUCAUAUCUGGGGGGGGAGGUUGGCAGAGCUAGGCGUCCUCGCGGAAGAAAUAAUCACCGUGCACACGUUGUGGUCUUUGCUGCUUGUGCAUAAACACCAGAUAUAGAAAAAACAGCUAUUUAUCUCUCCCUGCAAAUUGACUGAUGCUAGUAUAGAUAUUUAGUAGAAUGAGCAGAGUUUGGUUUAUAAAUGUACCUUGGAAUUCGAUGUUCUUCAUGACAUCAAGGUCGAUGCCAGAGGCCACCUGGUAGAGUGUCACCAAGGUCUGAAGAAGAAAAGGAGUCCAUUAAAAAGAGAUAUUGCUCUUUCUAGCUUACAAGGUUCAUUAUAACAACAUAUUACGCGAAGCAACAGGAUUGCAUCCUACCGCAAUAGUAGAAAUUACGCAAGGAGACCAGGAGUCUAUUAGUGGUCAUUACUGCUAGUCAAAGGAAGUAGUGAACCAAAAUCUCAAUGUCCCUCUACAAGUUAUGGCAUACAAAGACUGGAAACUUUCGGUUAAAAAAAUUCCUCUUUCUCUGAACAAAAACAUUUUCAUUCAGUUAAAUGCAAAUUCACAAGUACAACCAUCCACAGUAAAGGAGCUAUGAACAUAUUAUUAUUUUGGUUACAGAAGCAUCCACACCAAAAUAUACAGGGAUGUAAAAAACACUUAGAAAGAAAGCACUUCAUCAAAACAAAGAGUUAAACCACAUGACAGAUAGGUAAGCUCUCCAUACAAAGCAUCCUAAAAUCGGUGCUGCACACAACAGUUGUUCUUGAGAUCGUGGUGGUGGGUAUAAUUGAUGGAUUCAAUUACAUCAUACAAUAUGCAAAUCGGCAAGCGCGCACAAUGAAAAUGUGAGUAACUCUUUUGCUAAGAGAGAACAGUGUUUCCUGACCAACAAUGAGACUACUAAUAGCAACUUAAUGAGACGACCGAAUAAACAUACACAGGCAUAGGCAGUACACCUAGCAAUCUGACAUGGCAUCACAUAUUCACUAAAAGGCAUAGGCAUAGGCAAGAUUUUUCUGGUGCAAAUCAUGUAAUAAAGAACUGAAAGGGAGUCAGUUAGUAUGGCCACCUAAAGUUCGGUCCAGGAUGGACGAAGCUCCAAAAGUUUGAAUUUGAGAUCGAGGGAGAACUUCUGGGGUUCUGUUGUGGGUUAUGAUUCCUCGUACAACGCUCACAACCUGAAUAGAUAUGAUUUUCUGUUGUGAGAAGUUGAAGGAUUUGAGGUUGGCUCCUGUUGAAACUUGGCUAGAGAUACAACUUUGUUUUGUCAUUGGGAAGUGUAAAGCAUUGGAGAAGAUUUAUUGUUGAUGCUCACACCUCCAGAAUAUUUAGUUAAAACCUUCUGCUGAACUCAUUAAGUUGUUGACUGCGCAUUAUGGAGAAAAUUGUAUUUCUGCAACCAGAUUCAGCUACUGUCGUUACAACACUGUCUUUUGAGUAAAUUGAGACUCCACAUCAUCACUGACAUCGCAGGGCCAUUUCUGUCAGAUCCGUUGUCGAACUCCUCUAACUUGGAAACUUGGGUUAUGUGUUACUCUUUCUUCUGAAGUUGUGCUUCUGUGUUAUAAAUCUCUGAAGUUGUGGUUCUGCAAAAAUCGUGCCGCUGAAGUUGUUUGUUAGUGCUUCAAGUUAUUUAUCUUCUUUUAGGUUAUUUAUCACUUGUGUUAUUAUUAUACAUCUUGUGCUCAUCUUGUUUAGCUUAGGUUGUUGGUACACUUAGUUUUUGGGCCUCAACAUAUUUACCAUUUGUGUUUGAAAACUAAACAAGUAGUUUGUUUAUACAUUUGAACCUAAUACCAAUUCAUUCAUCUCCAUACCACUGCAGACACAACAGAACAGAGGCACUUCAUCACCCACGGCUGAGAAAGCAAGGUAGAAUCACCACUGCAUACAUACUAUUUCUCUUUUUUUCUGUUCUUUUCAGAUCAAUAUUGUUGUGAUCUUUCAUGUCUUUUAUAACAGGGAAAAUGGUUGUAUAUGAUAGACAUCGAACCGUUUCUGUAAACUGAGUACUAACUGAGUUCCCUAAAAAAAGAACCUUAGUACUAACUGAAAUAUGAUGGAACAGAAAAUACAAUGAAAUCAAUAUGGAACAUGCUAGAUAAAUAUUGCCAUGAAACCAGAUGACACUGAUAAUUUUAGUGGAAAACAAAGGACUCUUCUGUUAUUUUUAGUGAAAAGUUGGUCCACCGACCACUCACAUAUCCAAUUUCCAUGAUCCUCAACGGAAGUCAGAAACACAACAUAUCCAUGGACUUCUCAUUGUUCAAAAUCUUCUCUUAGGAUUAACCACAACAGCAUAUCGGGGGUUCAGGAAUCAAAAUAUCAGUUACAUCAAGAGUUAGCAAUGACCAAACUGGCAUGUAACAGAGACACUAUAAAAGAUAGCCAACAUCCAGUUAGGCCAACAUAACAGUGAACAAAACUACUGUCAAUCAGCUCAGUUAAUUCAGUUAGGCACACAAAUUUCAGAACUUUUGUGUGCCCUAGUACUUGGUGUUUGUAGAAAACCAAGAGUGUCAAUGGGACUAGAAUUCACUUGUUCUUAUAUGGGUUUGUAAAACUUGUUCAUGUACUGAACUACUAAUGCCUUGUGAUGCUCUGAAUUACUUGUGAUGCCUCUGAAUUACUUGUGAUCACAUUGAGAAAGACUUGUAAAGAUGAUGAUCAUCUUUAACAGAAAACAAUUUGUGAUGAUUUUGCUAGUUUGCUGGGUUUUGUCUCCGACCAUCGUGUCGUGAUGAUUUUGCAGGUACCCCGAGAGGCCCUUGAGUUUGCCGGAAUGUCGAUUAACUUCCGUUCCGGCAAAUUCGGGUACUCCAUAUGUCCUAUUUUCAGCAAAGGUCAUGCUGAAAUUUUCCGUGAAUUUUAGCAUGACUUUGCUAAAAAUAGGACAUAUGGGGUACUUGUGACUAAUGCAUAGGCCGGGGUAUCUUAGUAGUUAAUUAAUUAGGAUCAAGUGCCCCGGCGUACUUGUGACUAAUGCAUGGCUUUUAGGGUGCCUCGGUGUCGAUAAAAACCGAAAUGAUGAAAAGUUAGGCUUUUAGGGUGCCUUGGCGUCGAAAAACCCUCAAUGAUAAAAGCUUAGAUUUUAGGAUGCCUCGGUGUCGACAAACCCUAAAUGAUGAGACCAUGAUCUUGUUCCUUGACAAUAACCAACUUUUUGACCAAACUUUGUUUCUAUUUAGAGAGAAACAUGGCCCACAACGAUGAGGCCGGGGGUUCGGGCGGCAAGGCAUUCUGGGAGCUGUCCCAGGAGAUGGAGGAACAACCUCACUUGUAUGAGGCCGCCGCCUUCCCCACCGAUCCUGAGACCACGGAUGGUGCCGCCGAGGAUGACCACACUGAUGCCACCACUGAUGGUGCCGCCGAGGAUGCCACCACUGAUGAUGGCAGCGCACGCACAGAUAGCAGCCAGCCAAAGAGGCAACGGAAGGACCGGCGCCCGAUCGUGCUCCGCACCCUCAAGGAGGAAGUUACUGAAGUGGACUCCAACGGGAAUCCAACGGCGCCCGAACGAAUAGUCAAGGGGUACUCGCUUCAGCUCGGGUGCAUUGUCCGGAGCACCGUCUCGAUCAACACCGAGAACCUGAGGCAUCCUGACCGGGGGAAUUUGCGCCACCUCCUCUUCACGAAGCUGCACGAACGAUACAAGUUCCCCGCUGAAUUCGAAAACACAAGCCUCAAAGGGAAUAAAGUGAACAAUGCUGCCCUCACGAAGAUGAGCAAGGCCCUGUCUACUUGGAAAAGCAAUGUGAAGAGAAUGAUCGAGAAAGGUGAGAGUUAUGAGAAGAUCAAGGAGAAAAAUCCUUCGAUCACCGAAGAUGACUACAACGACUUCAAGAUCAAUUGCUCGAGCACCGCAAGCUCCCAAUCAAGUGAGUGGGGGAAACAAAUGCGGGAGCUGAACAUAGGGGAACACACACUCAGUCCCGGCGGUUACAGAGUGGCGGAGCCUAUAUAUGGGACAAGGAGGAGGCGGACCGUGCCGAGCAAGGCCUACCGCCCCUCUUCGAUAAAUACGGUGACAAGCAGACCAGGAACUUUGUCAGGGCCCGGUACAAGAAGGACCCGAAAACAAAGGAGCUUACCACGGAUCCGAAGACCAGGCGGCUUGAGCUUGUUCUGGUAAGGAAUACACCCCCGCGUAAUUAGCUCCAUAUGGUUGCAUUCUAAUUAAUGAAGCCGAAUUUCUAAAUGGUUCACAUUCCUUCCGCAGGCGACUGAAAGCAGUAGCGCGGGGUCGACUCAGAGCAACCCUUGGGACACCACUCUAAAUAGGGGGUUGAAUAUAAUGAAGAACAAGGAUAAGCUCAGUAAGCCGACGUCAGCUGGUCGUGUGGCCGGCAAAGGCUUGUCGACAAAAUGGGGGUCAUACUAUACUGCUGGUGUGCGGAAGGAGAAAAAGACCAGCUCGGAAAGCCAGGCGCGAGAGGUUCAAGAACUCAAGGCACAGGUGGCGCGGAUUCCGGAGAUUGUCCAAGAGCAAGUGGAACAACGACUCGGAGCGACGAUCACCGCCCUUGUGCCUACCUUGAUCUCGGGGUUGAGUGCGUGGAUUGCGGGCGGCCAACAGGGGCCGCCCCCGAUUCCUAGCUUCACGGCCAGCGACUCGCAUAAUGCGAUGGCGGGGCCAUUGGUGCCUCCGGCGGAGGCGGCAUUGGUGUCUCCGACGCCGGCACGGGAGCUUAAUGCACCCGGGUGUACGCCGGCCGGCACCUCUUCAGCAAGCGGCCGCUCCGUCAACUGCACGCCCGCCGUUGGCGGUGCCUCGACAUUAGCCGAGCUCGACGCCAUCAUCACGGUAACUAAUUAAGCCUCUCUCGGCCGAGGACUUCAUCUCCUUGCCUUUGACUGGGCAUCCCUGACGCCCUACAUGUUUUCGCAGGGCGCCGCCGACGUUCCGUGCACUCUCCUCCACUUCGUGAACAACGAGUUGGUCGAUGUCGCCAAGGGCAAAAUCGUUCAACCGGGCAACCCCUUGUUCCACGGUACCCAGAUGCCACCCAACUUGUUUAGGGUUCAACUGGUUCGGGUGCUGCCAGGCUGCGACGACUUGUUACCUCCGAUUCGACCCGUCGGGGCCGACGAUGAUGACGUGAUGACCCUCAGCGCCUGCCUGAGCUGGCCCCUGCUUUGGCCGAAGAGCCAGAUUCAUUUGGGGGCGGGGGACACCACCCCAAAGACAACACCGCCAGUCGUGUCGGCGCCAAGUCGGCCCCAUGGCAAGACCGCCGUAACGGUGCCGGACAUCCCUAUGCCACUGGAUCCAAACAUGCAUAUGGCACAGGAUCAGAACGACGACGACGACGACGAUGAUACAUUUGGCAACGUCGAUCAGUACUUUGCCGAGCAUGGGUACGAUGGCGACUUCAUGGGGCCUCCUUCUCAAGAACCAAACCCAACAAAAGACGUGUGCGAUCUAGCUCGUACCGCGGAGAAGCCAAGUUGCAACAGGCGCCGUCUGGCGUUCAGCUCUCAGGAGACGCCUCCAGCUGCCGACUUCACCGAGCCUCAGAUAGGCGAGGUGCGAAAUAUUAUCAGCCCCAACACACUCAAGAAGGCGGUCUGUGAGCAGAACUCGGUCCCAUUACAGGAGAAGAAGAAGGCACGCAAAAGAAAGACUAAGAAGGGUGCGAGCCAGCCGGCACCGAGUACGAUCCGUGCUCAGGACGGGCCACCUUCACCGCAGGAUAUCUCGAGGAGGGUGCAUGUGGCGGGUAGGGCGAUGCUACCACCAAAUAUGCUCAAUGCUGCAACCGGUGCUAUGCGGAGUCUGCACGACAGUGUUCUUUCUUUGGAGAAGCGGUGUCUCAGAGAGAAGGAUGUGGCAUACCCGGUUUUCAUGGCCAAGGUGCCAGAGGGCAAGGGCUUUGUGGAUGGCGACAUCGGGGGUACGAUCGUCCUGCGGUUUGAUGACAUCUUUGCUAUGUUUAACCUUCAUCCGCUGCACUACACCUUCGUUCGGCUAUUUUCGCUGAGUAUGGAGAUGCGGAUCAUUCGCGACAAGACCCCGGACAUCGUGAUAGUCGACCCCUUCUACAUGCGUACCAAGAUCUUGGGCAGCGCUGGGGACCGGCAAGUCGCGAGUUCUUACCUCGAAGGCGUCAUUCUGGCAAACCAAGAUAAGGAUAACUUCCUCGUGCCUUACUUUCCCGAGUAAGUCCUCCCCUCAACCGGCCCGUAACAUAUGAAUUCUUACUUUUCGAUCGUUUUUCUUUUAACAUUCCGUGUUUUCUGCAGUGACACACAUUGCACGCUCAUCCUCCUAAGCCCCAAAUAUUCCAUGGCCACGUAUUUCGAUCCGGACCGUCAGUCGAACGUAGACUACACAAAUGUCAAGAAGGUUCUUGAUGAUGUUCUCCCCGGCUACGCCCAAUCUGGAGGCACCUUCACCAGGCCUAUUCGUAAGUACGGCAAGCACGUGUUCUCCCACAAUACGACGUUCUGCUGCGUCAAGCAGCCGCCUGGCGGUCAGAAGGGUGCCUACUACGCCAUCCAUCACAUGCGGGCGAUCGUACGGGACCAUCAUCAACUUCUGCUACCGAGUAAACUCCAAGAUUGGGCCGCGAGCGUGUCGGCAAUCCAGGACGCGGACCUCCGACAAGAAUUCUUUCGCAUCCAGUCGGAGUUUGCGGAAAUCAUCCAUCAAGAUGUCCUUCGUACCUCGGGGCAGUUCUACCUCAGAAAUCAACCGUCCAACAGUGACAUCGACACAAUGCUACAAAUGCAGGAUGACAACGCCCGUUCUUUCAUGACUCCCACGAUAGACGACGGCUUCAUCCACGCUCCGGUCCCUUGAGUCGAGUUGUCUAGUUCUGAAACAUCGAUUGGCUCAUGUUGUAAUUAAACUUUAAUGAACUUGUAGUAUGUCUCUUUGGUUUUGAGAAUCGUUCAACUUAGAUGUAAUCGAUGCUAUUAAUGUCUUGCUUUUCUCUUACGAUCGUUCUGUUGCAUAAUUAUAUAUUGCUUAUGUAUUGUCUGUGAAUUGGUACUAACGUUUCGUUUGGCUAGUGCAUAGUGAUGCCGACGUAUGUCGUAUACAAGGGUAAGGUUCCCGGAGUCUACGAUGACUGGGAGGAGUGUCGGAGACAGGUUCACCGAUUCAGCGGUAACAGUUACAAAGGGUACACCACUAGGGCCGAGGCCGAAUCUAGAUACGCCCGCUAUCUAGUGGGAGAGGGGAGGGAGCGUUGGAGGAACCGGAUGAAGACGAGUUUCAUCGUGAUGAUGCUCAUCGUGAUGACCGCAGCUCUCUUCUAUGUGAUGGUAGUUUAGAUGAUCGAUAUCGACUUGUAAUGCGAAGACAAACUCGCUACUCGCGGUCUCGAGACUUGUAAUAUAAUGUUCUAUCUUUGUUCGGUCUUUUUAAUUCGGAGACUAAUAUGAUGAAUUGUAUUCGGAGACUAAUAUGAUGAAUUGUAUUCAAAGACUAAUCUUCUAUUGUAUUUGAUGAAUCUAUUGUUGAUGUGUGCUGUCUAUAUUUUGUCAAAUUAUACAUUUUGUAACCUGUGCAAAAAACAGAAAAUAAAAAAAUAAAAAAAAACCUAAUAUUCAUACUAAUGGCGCAUCACACGACAGUGCGCCAUUAGUAUGACAGUGCAUACUAAUGGCGCAUCACCGGGUAGUGCGCCAUUAGUAUGCUGCGGUUACUAAUGGCGCAUCCAGAGGUGGUGCGCCAUUAGUAUGCCAAAGCACCUGGGUAUACAUGCCAACUGGGAGGCAUACUAAUGGUACACCCUCGCAUAUACUAAUAGCGCACCAGCUGGUGCGCCAUUAGUAAAAAUUACUAAUGGUGUGCUAUCAAUGGCGCACCAGUGAUGCGCCAUUAAUGACCAUAUUAGGUGCGCCAUUAAUAGUGGUAUUUCUAGUAGUGUCAGAAGGCAAGAAAUUGGAAAUAAUUAUGUUCUUUGGUGGACUAAAUGAUUGUAAGGAAAACAACAAAGCACACGCGAAUAUAAUGAAGUUCGGCUUGAGCUUGAUUUGCAUCACGAGCCAAAUGGUGAGCUCUAGCUCAGCUCGCGAGCUUAGGGAUGAGCUCAAGCUCAAGCUUGACUCAUCGGAGACUUGACGAGCUCGCAAAGCCCGAUAUUGUUUUAUUUACAAAAUUCGACCAACACAUUACAUAUGUGAUUGAGCUUACAUUAAAAUUCGACAAGCACAGUACUACUCUAACUUUCAUGCAUUUGUACUGAAAUUAACUUGAUUGAGUUUCUGUUAAAUCAGAUAACUCAAAACUUCUUUCAAAACAAAUAUUGUGCUUAAACUUUUCAUGCAGAACGGCAGAUUUUGUAAUAUUAAACAGCUUACAUGUAAAAAAAGACCCGGAUGGGCACACUCAGAGAGUACACAAGCAUAAAAAUACAAUCUUGUAACACAACCUAGCAUGCAAAUAGCUUUAGAAAAGAACUGCAGAUGGAAAAGUCUUUCCGGUGUAAAAGAAACCUAACUUUGAUUCAGCUUCAAGUGUAGCAUUGAUGCUUCCCUCUGCUACUUUAAUUGACCAUGCUUUCAAUCGACUUGGAUUCCAAUCUGCAGGGCGAAAAACUUCAAUGAGCAACCAUUGAGAGAUCAAGAACAUAAAAGAACAACGCUGCACUCGUUUAGUAUUCAUAUAUACUGCAUAUAGAAUGGCAUUUACAGCAGAAUACUAGCACUGAACAUUUACAACAGAAUACUACAAAAAUAUAAAUAUUUUGGGAUUGGAUUGGGUCCAAAUUUUGGCAUGAGACAAAAACUUGACACUUGAUUUGCCAAAUACUGGCAACUUUUGAUAGUGCCAAAAUUGGUAUACAUAAUCUUAUAGGCACUAAGUCACUAAAGGGUUCACUCUCCCCACUAAACCAUUCAAACCCCUUGUGCUACAUACUUUAUAAUACAGAUAGCACAACCUUAGCAUGUUCUCAGAAUCAAUGUAACCAAAGCAUCAACAGAUUAAUGAUCUACAAGCUAAAACAUGGCAUCAUUUGACUUCAUGUUCUGAUUAGCAUCAGGCAUCAGCUAUCUAAGCAUGCACUCUGUUCCUGUUUUCACGGAUGGUUAUCCAUGAAUUUUAUUGGUUCUCGUAUUAAUCUAGGACACUCUGUAAAUAGCAUGAGUCAUCCAAAGCAGAAUCCAGAUCUAUAAAUCACAUGCCAAUAUAUGACGAUAAUACCACAUGUGAUUGCCAUCACCGCGUAAUCCAACUGAUAUUUCAGUGAUUUCACAUGGUACCCCAUUAGUGUCCUGUGGCAAUUGCUCUGAUUUAAUGUCUCCAUGAACCGCGUCAUUAAGGCCCAGCCUUCUUCUCGGUCCCUCAUCUGCCCUCACAGAUCUUUUACGAAUGCGCAUACAUAAAUCUAUAUGGGAGAGGGGGGAAUGGGAGGAUCGUAGUAUACCUUGAUGCUGAGCGUGAGAGGCGAAGGAGGAGCCCACCACCGGCUUGCCGCCGGCGAGCUAGGACCUUGACAGGGGACGGAGGCACGGAUCACACCGACGAGCUGCUCCUGGGACUGAGUGGGGAAGGGGUGAGUAGCCCACCACCGACUGCUGCUAGAAGGGGGCGAGCUGCUGCUGUUAACGGAGAUGAGGAGGAUGCGGAUCUUGGCCGUCGCUACUCCCCCGCUACCGUCCACAAGCGGGAGGGAGAUGGGCGAGGGUGACUCGUGGUUGCGUUCGGAGGAGGAUAUCGGGAGCAAAUUAAUCAGAAUCGAGGGUCCUUAUUGCUAACUGUCCGCAUAGAUCCCACCAUGAUAAUUUGUACCACUUAUCCCAAUUUGGACGGCCCAGAUCUAUUUUUCUAUUUUUUUCACCUGAAGCUCUUCUUUUAUUCUAGUCGUUCCCGUGGGGUGUCCAAGCGAUGCAGGAAAAAAAAACCACUGAUGGAGAUGGAGGGGAGCUACAGCAGAGGCGCAUAUGCAACACCUUUAGUCCCACCUCGCCCGUGGGAAAAGAACACUAGUUUAUAGGUAGACAGUGUUGUGUCACACGCAAAUAGCGCGUGCGCUCGCGUGAAUAUCCGCGUUGACUUAGGAGUUUGGCAUAGCCGGCCGCCUCCGUCUCCUUUUUUAUUUUCCUUUUUCUGACUUUGGUCCUCAUAUUGGGUCAGUCAAUUCUUUAACAGGCUGAAAGUCAAUGGUACGAUAUGACAAUGUCGUGCGUGUUUCGUCUGCAAUGGUCAUGCGUGUAGCAGUGCUCUUUGAAGUUAUACACCUGGUUUUCUCAUGAAUAAAAUAAUAUUUUCGCAAAAAAAGUCUUCAACAACAAAGUUAGUUUAGUGCAAACUCGCCUUUUAACCAAGGCAGAAUUCCUUACAAGCUCGGCUUCAAUGGCUUUAGCCCUGAGCACAUUAGAAAACCCGAGGUUGUUGGUAUCCAAGGUUGCUCCGCAGAGGUCAGUGAGACGUAAGCCGACAAUAAGAGUCGUGGUUUCACACACGGCACAGUUGUUGUCGGCAACCUCCCAACAAAGAUUGACUGCAUGCGGUGAGAGGGGAUUGUGACAGGUUUCCAGUAGCAGGGCUGAUGCUCUUCAUGCCGGGUGUCACGCCCAAUAUGCGACCCUAUCCAAAAGGAACUCGAAGGUUCCACUAAGGAUAGACCCGCAUAUUGAAACGCUUUUGCAAGGUGGAUAUCAUUACAUCAACAUUACAUAAUAGGUAGGGAUACAUACAAGGGGCAUACAAUGCCACAUGAAUACAACAUCAUCUUACAUAAGAGCACCAUCCGACUACGGAUGAAACACAAACAGAAACUCAAAUGACAUCCACCCUGCUAGCCCAGGUUGCCGACCCGGAACCUAUCCCCUAAUCGAAGAAGAAGCAGAAGAAGAACUCCAAAACAAGCAAACAUCGCUCUCGCGUCAUGAUCAUCGCAUAACCUGUACCUGCAACUGAUGUUGUAGUAAUCUGUGAGCCACGAGGACUCAGCAAUCCCAUUACCAUGGGUAUCAAGACUAGCAAAGCUUAAUGGGAAAGGAAGGGGUAAAGUGGUGAGGUUGCAGCAGCGACUAAGCAUAUAUGGUGGCUAACAUACGCAAAUGAGAGCGAGAAGAGAAACAAAGGAACGGUCGUGAAGCUAGCAAUGAUCAAGAGGUGAUCCUGAACUCCUACUUACGUCAGACAUAACCCAGAAACCGUGUUCACUUCCCGGACUCCGCCGAGAAGAGACCAUCACGGCUACACACACGGUUGAUGCGUUUUAAUUCGGAUCUGGUGUCAAGUUAUCUACAACCGGACAUUAACAAAUUCCCAUCUACCACAUAACCGCGGGCACGGCUCUCGAAAGUUUAUACCCUGCAGGGGUGUCCCAACUUAGCCCAUGACAAGCUCUCGCGAUCAACGAAGGAAUAGACCUUCUCCCAGGAAGACCCGAUCAGUCUCGGAAUCCCGGUUUACAAGACAUUUCGACAAUGGUAAAACAAGACCAGCAAAACCGCCCGAUGCGCCGACAAUCCCGAUAGGAGCUGCACAUAUCUCGUUCUCAGGGCAACAUCGGAUGAGACUAGCUACGAGUAAAACCAGCCUUCAAGUUGCCCCGAGGUGGCCCCGCAGGCAGCUCAGUUCGGACCAACACUUAGACAAGCACUGGCCCGGGGGGGCUAAAAUAAAGAUGACCCUUGGGUUGGCCGACCCAAGGGAAGGGUAUAGGUGGUGGUGAGGCAAAUGGUAAAACCAAGGUUGGGCCUUGCUGGACAAGUUUUAUUCAAAGCGAACUGUCAGAGGGGUCCCAUAAAUCACCCGACCGCGUUAGGAACGCAAAAUCAGGGAACAUAACACCGGUAUGACGGAAACUAGGGCGGCAAGAGUGGAACAAAACACCAGGCAUAAGGCCGAGCCUUCCACCCUUUACCAAAUAUAUAGAUGCAUUAAUUAAAUAAGAGAUAAUAUGAUAUCCCAACAUAACCCUGUCCACCAUGGAGCAAUCUUCAACUUCACCUGCAACUAACAACGCUAUAAGAGGGGCUGAGCAAAGCGGUAACAUAGCCAAGCAACGGUUUGCUAGGAAGGGUGAAAAGGUUAGAGGCUGACAUGGCAAUUUGGGAGGCUUGAGCAACAAGAGAUAGGUAGCACGACAAAGCGAUAGAACGAAGCAACUAGCAUAGCAAUGAUAGUAGUGAGAUCCAGGGUGACGGUCAUCUUGCCUGAAAUCCCGCUAGGAAGAAGAACGAGUCCAUGAAGAAGAUGAAGCCACGAAGACGAACCACACGUAGACGAACGCAUCAUCACGAUCGCAACGAAACGAGAACUAUUGAGAAGAAGCACACAACAUGGUAAACACACCACACAUGAACAAGACAUGAUGCACAACAUGCAUGAUGCAUGACAAUGCUAAAUGGAGCUACUCAUGGCAAGAGAUGAUGCAAACAAGAACAACACAUCAAGGCAAGUUUAAAUGAGGCCGGGAACAACAUAUAACAACUCCGGUAAGUCCUCAUAUGCAUAUUUAGAAAUUGGUCCAGAUCUGAAUAAACCUUAUGUUCAAGUUGUUAAACAGCAAGUUAAAGAUCACCAAGAUGAACUACACGAAAUUCUAGUCAAGUUACAUAUAAAGUUCAUUAGAUUUGGAGCUACGGCCUAGAAGAUAUGAGCAAAACAAGUUAAGCAUGGCAUUGAUGCAAAAUGCAUACAAACAUCAAGCAAACACACCAAAACAUGGAUGCAACAUGAUAAUAUGAAGCUACAUGCAAAAUCGAGCAAGUUUCAUAUAGAGCACACUCAAAACGGAGCAACGGUUCAACACAUGCACUCUAUACAAGUCAUAGCAACAAUCUGCCCAUAACAGCAACUAGGCAUAUUGCAAGCAUCAAAACAAUAUGCUACAGCACCCCAACAUAAAAACAAAAGGCAUGGGCAUGAAGUACUGGUAAAGCGUAACAAAACAUGAACACUGAGCUAUCUCCAGAAAUCACUAGAACAUGCUCAAAAGGACAUGGGAAGAUUGCAAAUAAUAACAGUUUCAGACUUUAGCAGAAAUAACAUCAGGUUGCAAUGUUUAGAGCUAUCAAACAACAUGUUACAGGAACAUAUCAUGGCAAACAAAGACAUGGCAUGAAUCUACUAAAAGCAUAGAACAACAGUCCCUUACUGACCAUGAGCCAAAAAGGAUCAGAAAGUAUGAUGGCACCCACGUAAACAUGGCAAGUUAUAUGACAGAUUCAUACAUGGCAGGAACAACAAUAAGUAGGCAUGUUGGUGAGCUUGAACCACUCACCACAGAGCAAUACAUGGCAUAGCAAGGCAACCAACAGUAAGAAGGCAUGUUUAUGAAGCUAAGCAUGGCAGGAGGAAGGUCAUAGGGUUCAUGGAUCACUAGGAAAACACAUGGAAACAACUGAACUUAAUGUAAACAGGCUGACAGCAACAUUAUGAAGCAACUUUAGAGCAAGAUAACAACAUGUUCCAUUAGUCUAUAAAUGCAACCAAGGGCAUGAAUGGAUAGAGCAUGACAUGUAGAUCAAAACAUGUUUAUAGAGCAUCUCCAGAUUAUGCAUAGAAUGAUUAGUAGAAGCAUGUUAACAUGGCAACAAAAUAUAACAGAAUCUGUCAGGAAAACAGCAACAACAACUACCCUACUUAGCAAGCUUGAUACACUCAGCACACAACUCACAAAAAUACAUGGUUGGCACCCCUGGAAAGAUGGCAUAGCAUAGAUCAAAACACAUUUAGACAUCAACCUCAUAGGAUGCACACAUCAAACAUGGCAAAAAUGAUAAAUGAGCAAGUUAUAACAGUUUCAGCAGAUUAACAUCAACAUGCACUCUUCCAACAGCAUUUCGGGCAUCGAGAUGAGCUCAAAUGAAAAUGAUGCAAUGUAAUGAAAUGAAGUACUCGCCGAGGCGAACAAUUUGACAUAUUACACGCCCAAAACGGAGCUACGGAUGCAGAGAUACAGCAUGAUGAACAUGGAAUGAUUAUGUCACAGAUUCGGGGACUUGGGCAAAUUUCAAAGGGGGGAAAGUCAACCUAUCCGGAUCUGGAUCGGAAUCCCGGCGCGGAUGCCGAGGACAGCCGGGGUUCGCCGGAGCAGAGGACGGGGAGGCGGCCGGCGGGGCGGAGAGGAGCUGGCCCGGCCGGAUCCGGCCGGAUCCGGCGCGGCGGCGGCGGGCUGGGCGGAGCCGGCCGNNNNNNNNNNNNNNNNNNNNNNNNNNNNNNNNNNNNNNNNNNNNNNNNNNNNNNNNNNNNNNNNNNNNNNNNNNNNNNNNNNNNNNNNNNNNNNNNNNNNNNNNNNNNNNNNNNNNNNNNNNNNNNNNNNNNNNNNNNNNNNNNNNNNNNNNNNNNNNNNNNNNNNNNNNNNNNNNNNNNNNNNNNNNNNNNNNNNNNNNNNNNNNNNNNNNNNNNNNNNNNNNNNNNNNNNNNNNNNNNNNNNNNNNNNNNNNNNNNNNNNNNNNNNNNNNNNNNNNNNNNNNNNNNNNNNNNNNNNNNNNNNNNNNNNNNNNNNNNNNNNNNNNNNNNNNNNNNNNNNNNNNNNNNNNNNNNNNNNNNNNNNNNNNNNNNNNNNNNNNNNNNNNNNNNNNNCGGGGGCGCGGCGGCGGACGCGUCCGGCUCCAUCCGGACGUGUCCGGCGGCGCGGAGAGGAGCGGGGCUAGGGUUUCGGGGGAUUAGAUCGCGAAUUUGGAGGGGGGGGGCAUAUAUAUAGGUAGAGGGAGCUAGGAGAGUCCAAAUGAGGAGCGGUUUUCGGCCACGCGAUCGUGAUCGAACGACCGAGAGCAUAAAGGGGAGUUUGCUGGGUUUUGGGCCACUUUGGAAGGGAUGUUGGGCUGCAACAAAAGAGGGCUUUGCGGUUACCCGGUUAACCGUUGGAGUAUCAAACGACCUCCAAAUGGCACGAAACUUGACAGGCGGUCUACCGGUGCUAUACCAAGGCCGCUUGGCAAACCUCGGGCCAUUCCGAGAAAGUUUAACACCCGCACAAGAGAAGAGGCAAAAAGGGGGCGCCGGAGGACAUAGGAGUGUCGGAUUGCAAAACGGACAACGGGGAAAAAGCUCGGAUGCAUGAGAUGAACACGUAUGCAAGAUGAGAUGCACAUGAUGACAUGAUAAAAUGCAACACGCAAGCAAAUGACGUGGCAAUGACGGCGAAUAACUGGCGGACACCUGGCGCAUCGAAUCCGGGGCGUUACACCGGGCCUUCGCUACGAUCGUGGCGGUGUAGUUCCUGCUGGGCCUUCGCAACACUCGCCAUCACGACAGUUAAUGUGACGAAGAUGUCAGUGCAGGAGCUGCUCGACUACCUCGACCCUUUUACAUGCGACUGCAACUCAAUUAGGUAUAUUAAAGUCAUUGACUUCAUUAGCAAAUUCAGAGUAAUGCAAGAGGAUAACUACAUGUGCCAAGGCUACCAAACCGGGUGCGACUUUGACGGUGAUUAUUGUACCUCGCAAUUUCAAUCGGUGAAUACGAGUGAGUUCCUUUUAACGACGCAACCGCCUUGAUGAAGGGCAUGUCAAGUCCAACUAGUCACCAUGCUGGCGGAGCUAGGGGUGGGAGAGGGGGGAGGGCAUGCCCCCCACCCCAUGGUUAAUUGUUUUUUUCUAAAAGUGCCCCUACAUAUUUAUCUUAAAAUGUUAGAAAAUGUAUAUGUUUGGCCCCUUCAACGUCUUAAUUUUUUCAUUGCCCCCUCUGUAUAAGAUUCUUGACUCCGUCCCUUGCUAGGAGGGCCAACACUCCCAGGUCGGUGUUUUCAUGGCUUAUACUAUGACCUUUGUGAUAUAAAUGAUACGUAUUACCAUGUAAAAAGUGCCUAUUUUCAAGUCUUGACCUCAAAGAAUUUUUGGGGACAUAGGUCAAUUUAAACAUUAACGGCUACUUCCUCCAAUUCAAAGUAAGUGUCGUGGUUUUGGUUCGUGUUUGAACCAAAAUUAUGGCAUUUAUUUUGGGUCGGAGGGAGUACAUUUUAAUACCAGCUCCCACGUGUCGACGCUAAGCACUGACUGAUGUUGCAGAAGACGAUAUUAUCCAGUAGACUGGGCUCUAUUCUGCGGCAAAGGUGACCGAGAUGGGGAUCCUCACGGUGUGCUUCUCAGACACCCCCAUUCGAACUUGGAGAGGAUAUUAGUGUCCUGACAUUAAUUGUAGGUACAAUCAACUAAAAAUGAACCUCAUUUCAGUGAAGGAAGUGGGUGGAUUAUAGGACCAAUCUUUUUUAGUUGAUGAAUAUAUCCCGAUCUCGAUCUUUGCCUCUGUAUCACCUGUUCACCCUAUGAUAUGGUUUACCAAGAGGUAUCAUGUUGUCAUUUCAGCAGCUCAUGCAUUUGUGUCUUUUCCUGAUUAGGUGCCCAAAGUUUCAGAUUAGUAUGAUCUAGAGUUAGUGUAAUUUGUUAGCAUCUGAGGUGGUGCGGGAGCUUGGGUGAAGACCCUGUCCCGACUUUAUGCCGUGACCAAUGGUAAUGGCGGAUGUGGCUGUCGUUAACCUUUUUGAAGGCAUCGCCGCUUUGCUGUCGUACUCCAUCCGCACGGAUCCGGCCAUCACAGCCUCUCUUGGGGAAACACUUGAUCUUGUGUGAUCGGACGACGGCGGCGCCUUGGCUUCGUAUAGCCUCUUGGGGGCUUCAUCUUUGGAGCUUGGCAUCGGUGAGUGGGACCAAUGGAUGAUAGUAGUUUUGACGCCCAAGCUUCUGUGGGAACAAUGAUGGUGGGUGCAAUGUCAGCCAUGCGACAAUGGUUGCGGUAGUCGGCGCUUCUCCGACGCGUCCAUGGGAUCGUCUCGAUAUGUUUGUUGAUGUGAAUUCGAAGCCGCGGCGACAGGGUCCCUGUGGCAUAUGCUGACUGGCUGCAGAUGGCUGUUUGGUGAUCUUCUGUGGCGCCAACCGUGCCUGGUUUUGUCCUUUGUAGUUCCCUGUUAGAGUCGGAACUGUGUUGUCCGACCGUAGGUGAUUGAGUUCUGGCAUGAAUCUUCAGACGACUCCACUUGGCCUCUACAGUGUGGGUUGAGUCUGACGAUUGCUUACGGCGAAGUCGGAGUCGUUUGUUCAUAGUUCAGAGAUGGUGAUGAUGCCUUCUAAGGGAGAAGUGAUAACAAUGACGUUUGCGUGCUGUCUCGGCGAGGCCCUAUUUAGAGUGGUGUGCGCGGGAUAUCUUCUGUGUGUGCCGCUCAGCGGUUGUGAUGAUUUUCACCCAGUUCUUCACAAUUAACUGGGCAAUCUUGUUUUCGCACCGUUUUUCUUAAUUAGCCGAGCAACUCUUUUCUUCUUAAUGGAUGCAGGAAUUUUGUCAUUUCGAAAAGAACAGAAAUUAUUAGUAUAGCACCUGUGUGUGUUUUGAAGGUGUUUAGGUCAUACAAUUUGAGACAAAAGCAGACAGACUAGCUAUUUUUUGGGUUUAUCUUGAUAUGAUGUUUGGAGUUUGGUACACGAGAAGAAGGAACACAAUAUCCUUUUAUGGCCAUGUGUUCUUUGUGUUCAUAGUAUGGCAUCUUUAAUUGUAACGAAGCUUUUAAGGUAGAGAUCCACGCGUUGCUGCAAGGAAUGGCUUUAGCUAUCCAACAUACGGAAUUGCCGAUUAUUGUUCAAUCAGACUCUUCUGAGGCAUUGUCCAUCUUGACAAAUGAUAACCUGUUGCGGUCCGCUUAACCUGGUUGCUGAGAUUAAGUCUUUAUCAGAGGAGCGGGAGUUUAUUCCCCAAAAUCUUACUAGGAAUAAGAAUAGGGUAGUAGACCGUCUCACGAAUUAUAGCCAUAUUGACUCUUGUAUAGUUGUUUGGCUUGAAAGAGAGGAUCCCUAUGUAUUGAGGAACUCUUGCCACCUAUAGUUUUUAAAUAAAAUUCUCCUUUUCUCGGCAAUGCUCCAUCAAAUAAUGUAUCUGCCAAUGAUGAUGAAAAAAUAUGUUGGGCAUCCUAAAUUUUAGACCUAAAUGCUGCAUAUUUGCAGCGUUGUACCUACUCCCGCAAGAACAAAUCGCAAUCACGCGAAAGCCAACCGCCCCACGGAAGUUUCCUCAUCGUUCGACCCGCCGCCACCGAUGCCCAUUUCAGUUGGAUCUCGCCGCCACGACGAGUCUGACACCCGCCCCAUCCCAGCCACCAUCCCACCGCUUGGACGUAUGUGACCGGCCCCAUUGUCGCCGUCCGAUUUGCUUUCGGCAGCUCCCACCCUCCACCAUCCUAUAUGGGCGCUGCAACAGCGGGGCUUGCUGUGGAGGUCGACUAGGUGUCGUCCCAUUCCCCACAUGACCGUCGCUACCACCAUUGAGCCGAUGCGCCUUUCUAGCACCACACCAUCAUCCCCGAGCUCCUGCCACGGGCCCUGAACUUCCCCGGCGUCGAUGUCGAGCUUCUCCAUGUCAUCGGAUCCGCAUCCCGGCCUCCCCGCCGUCGGAUCGUCAUGUUUCAUGUGGUUCUUAUUUUUUUGGACAUCACUUUUUGCCAUGUGUUGAAGCAACAACAGUUGCGAUGCCAAAAUAAUCUUUUAUCUCCUACCCUAAAAUGUCUUUUCAUCACCAACCUUUUCAUCAACUAUUGGAGGUGCUCUCGCUAAACCGAAUCCACGGCGCUACAGCCAGCCCAACCCAGCCAAGUGGGGCCACGAAUAGAAGAUGCCACUCUUCCCCACUCCACUCCGAGCCCUAUUCUCCCCCUCCACCGCCGCCUCCUCCACCGCCGCCGCCCCGCCGCCCCGUCGACCGCCGCUCGCGGGGGCUCUCCUCUUCCUCAGCCUAGGAGCCGUAGCCGGUUGCGCCCUCUCCACUCGCCGUGUCCCCUUCCUCCGGUAACUCAUAUAAUCCUCUUUUCCCCCCUCCCUCUCCGCCAUCAGUUAAUUAGUAACAAUUCGUGCCUUAGAUUCAUGGAAUUUCGCAAAAAGGCCGCGCUGGUUGGCUGUGAUGGUUCAGCUUGUCGCGUCUUUAGCUUCUCUGAUUGCUAGCUCGUAGACUAGUUGUGUAGCUACAGUCUACAAUCAUCCGUGGAUUGCUGUUACCUAGAAGUAUGAAACCUGUGUCGCGGUGUGCUUGGCUGGAUAAAACAAGAUAGAAGUGUUACAGGUCUGAUGAAUUUGCAUACGAUGUUUGUCCGACACUCGUCAGUCACCUUUGGAUCAAAAGUUUUGCAAAUUAUCGCAGUUACCCUCAUAGCUUUUCAGACAAAAACUGAUGUGUUUCUGUUGCUGCAUUGAUGCUAAGAAUUCGAUAAUCUAAAGUAGUACCACAUUAAUAUUUACAACACUGUGAUUUCUAUGCGAGCCUGUGGUUAUUUUGUUUUUUGUAAUGUAUAAUAGUUGAUAAUCAGUUAUCAGUUCUGGAACUUUACAGGGCGAUAAGUUCUGCUAGAAUGGAAUCUACUUCCACGACCGUGCCUUCCAUUGUUGUAUAUGUGACAGUUCCAAAUCGGGAAGCAGGUACUUUAACUAUGUUGUUGUUUUCUAUUAUUAUAUCAUCGUUGCAUGUUACCAUCCCAUUAAUUAAUCCUAAUCCCAAGUACAAGCCGUACUAUUAAUUGACUAACUGAACUUACUUUCACAUCUGAUAGUGCAUCUGAGUUACUCCCUCCGUCCCAUAAUGUAAGACGUUUUUUGACAUUAGUGUAGUGUCAAAAAGCGUCUUACAUUAUGGGACGGAGGGAGUAGAUUUCUAUUUAAAAUCUCGUCGCUGUUAUGUUGUUCAAUGGUCCCAUUGUAGAUGUCUAUAUGAUAUUUUUUUGGCGAGUUUGAUCUCUUUCUUAAGCAGCACUAAGAAAUGUAAAAUGGCUGUCUUUUAUUUUCAGUUAUCUUAUUAUUAAUUUUCCUUUGCUGCAGGCAAAAAGCUAUCAGCAAGCAUUAUCAGUGAGAAACUUGCUGCUUGUGUGAACAUAGUGCCUGGUAGGAACUAUGUUCUCUCUCUUGUUUAUUCUGUGCCACUAGACACUCAAAUGUAGUAGACUCCUUUUUUUUUGCAUGGAAUAGUUGACUCCAGUUGACCAUCUUCUACAGUAGUUUUCAAUUAUCACUUGAACCUAUCAUCUCUUCCAGUUUCCAUUCAAACCCGAUGUUGUGCACUUUAGCAAAUUGGCUUCUCUAUCCCUUGCCUUGAAUCGAAUGUCAGCAAUGGACCAGGAUGACCAUUGGACAUUUGAGUUUUCCAGAAUGUAGCAUGGACAGUCAUGUGGCUGUGUACAUCAUCAUUUGACCUGUCAGGUGCAGCAUCGUGACAUCACUACUGCUGGAACUAAACUUGAUGAAAAUGUAUUCAAUUGAUGACAUUAUGGGGUCUCAAGUGAAAAUCGUGGUGAAAAUGAAGGGCUGCAGGGAACCAUCUUCGUAAUUAUAGAAGUAGGAAUUAGGGAUGGUAGUAUAUUAGAGAUGGAGUAUAGACAUGUUAUGCUUGAUAGCCAACUCUACUUGGUCGCUGACAAAAAAUAUUUAUAUGAAAGAAGCAUAACUCCAACUUGUGGUAGCUGAGGUUCAACAUAAUUACCGUUUGAGAUUAUACUUGAAUUAACUGAACGUCUGACCAUCACCAAGAUCUUCAAGACACCUUUUAAUUGUAGACCAUAGCUUGUGCCUGCCUGUACAUAUGCACUGGAAGUCUGGAACUGGAAUAGUUGUGGAAACGGUGAUGCGCGGGCAAGUUGGCAUGGGUGACUUGCUUGUUUGCUUAGAUCAUAUUGGUGCAAUGACUGCAGAAUCUUUUAGCAAACUGUACUCUUUACUGACAGUAAAAUAUGUGUACUAAACUGACGGAUAUGCAUUUGGCCAUCAACAGGUAAGCCGCCUCAUCUUCUCUUCUCAUGAUAGUUUCUUCUGUUGUACAUGGUUUACUGAGCAAUCUUUUUUCAGUCAUCAUACCAUAUUAUCUUAUUGUUUGCUCUUUGACCUAUCUCAUAGUUGGCAUUCUUGUCUCUUUCCAGGAAUCGAAUCUGUUUACUGGUGGGAGGGAAAGGUACAUUUUUACUGAUGCUUUCUUGGCCAUGCUAACUUGCAGUGUUCGUUGUCCAGUCACAGCUUUUCACCAUGAAACACCCUUACAUGGGAUGCUUGACCAACCCAUUACAAAAGUACUGAUAUUUAGUUUUCCCCAAUCUGUCCAUUCCUCAGGUGCAAACUGAUGCUGAAGAGCUGCUCAUCAUCAAGACCAGAGAAUCUCUUCUAAAUGCCUUGACUGAACAUGUCAAAGCUAACCAUGAGUACGAGUAAGUUGUGUCCUGUUUGUCAAGAUCUAUCUACUUGUCAGUACAAAGUAUGGAUGAACAUGCUGAACGGAUACUUACUGUCUGAUUAUGCAGCGUUCCUGAAGUCAUUGCGCUGCCCAUCAGCGGAGGCAACCUCAAGUACUUGGAGUGGCUCAAGAACAGCACCAGGGAGAAUUAAUCUGGCCAGAGCUGCUUCCCAUGGACCGCAUCUGUGAGUAGAGUACCUAGUGGUGUGGAGUGUCUGUUCUGGUUUGGGACAUUGUGCUUGUGCAGAAAGACUUUAGUGGCCUCUGUGCGUCUAUGGCGUGGCUGCGACGAAUCGGUCGAUCUGUACUGUCUCCUAGGGUCAAAUAAACUUUCAGAAGCGUGUAGCGCCAAGUCGACUGCACAAAUUCCUCUUGUCGCGCUCGUGGAUUAUCUCAUCACCAUGUUCCUUCAGCUAAUCUCUUGAAAGAAAAACCAUGGGUAUUAUCUGCCAUCAAACCCCGGAACAACAACACAUGCAUGUGUGACAUUUUUUUUCAGAGCAAGCACUGGUACAUGUGCUGGAUGAAGAGGCGGCAGCACGUGGCGUGCGGUUAAAAAAGAGAGGAAUGAUGUGCGCUUUACCUCCUCGCUAAGCUACUAGAGUUCCGAUAAAGUAGAGAUCUAUCUGUAAUCAGUGGGUGAGGGUAAUUCCGUCGGAGUAUGAGACAGUGGAUGUCAUGCAUGUUGAGGACGAUGUGUCGAUGUCAGUCUGUCACUGUGUGGGCUUUUUCACUAUUCUGACCCUUUCAACAAACUUUAUCACAAAAUGAACUCGACGUGAAAGUAUUUCACGAUCUGACCCUUUUAGCAAAGCCACAGCCCGCGGCGUUUCUGCCCAACAUAGAAACGCCGAGGUAGCUAGCGUUUCUGACCAAGAAGAAACGCCGAGGUAGCUAGCGUUGCGGACAAGGUAAGAAACGCCAAAGGCGCUGGCGUUGCUGCCCAUCAUUGAAACGCCAAGAGACCAUGGCGUUGCUGCCCUUUUCCAUGUGCAUGUGAAAUGUGGAUGAACAGCCUAACUAAUAAGGCUAAUUAAUUAUGACCAAAGAGGGUAGAAACGCCAUGGUCCCUUGGCGUUUCAAUGAUGGGCAGCAACGCCAGCGCCUUUGGCGUUUCUUACCUGGUCCGCAACGCUAGCUGCCUCGGCGUUUCUCCUUGGUCAGAAACGCUAGCUACCUCGGCGUUUCUAUAUUGGGCAGAAACGCCGCGGGCUGUGGCGUUGCUAAAAGGGUCAGAUCGUGAAAUACUUUCACAUCGAGUUCAUUUUGUGACAAAGUUCGUUGAAAGGGUCAGAAUAGUGAUUUUGUCCUCACUGUGUGGUGUGUACCACAACUGACAAAAGUCCUCUCCAAUAAUGUAUCCUCUUUUGGCUUUCUAGUUGGCCCUUUUUACUUUGGAUGGUACUAGGGUAAUCUGCAGGCUGCACCACUGAGCUGAAUCCAACAUGUGGCUGGUCUGGUCUGGAGAUCUGGUCACAUGAUGCACUGGGCCAGCAAGAGGGUUGCAGUUUUGUUCAUUCCAAGGUGGUUAGGUUCAGUGGGAAUCUGCCUACUGAUUCAGAUGCACCUCCCCAAAGAAAAAUACUGAUUCAGAUGCACCUGUACCAACACCGAGAUCGAUAAUAUGAUCCACCUAUCCACCCACGUACUCCCUCCGUCCGAAAAUAGUUGUCAUCAAAAUGGAUAAAAAAGGAUGUAUCUAAAACUAAAAUACAUCUAGAUACAUCCCCUUUUAUUUAUUUUGAUGACAAGUAUUUCCGGACGGAGGGAGUAGCUAACAAGAUAGCAGUAGCAGCUACUUGCAUAAUCAGGGAAAGUUCAGUAUAAUAACCAAAUCAUCUGGCUUUGUAUCUGCACUUUUGUGGUGAUGAAGCAGAGAUCACAUCGUUUCCCCGCCUUUAUUAGUUCAACCCAGAGAAAAUUCUCAUCUCACAUGUAGUAAGAUGUAACAAGGGAGCAAAGAAGAUCAAGCACCUGUCAGACAGUCACACACACAACUGUAUUAACGGACAAGUGUGCGAACAGUUACACUGAACCAUCAUUUUUCCAACCCCAAAAUAAGAACACACGCAUAUACUAAUCGACAACAAUUAAGCUUAGCCAGUAGCCAAGUCACACGCCCUACUCUCCUCUAGCGGGAAGGGGCACACACAUCAGAUCAGAUCAGAUGAGAUUCAGAGUCACACACACACACACACACACACACCGGAACCAAGCGAACAGCACUCGGAUAAGAUUCAGAGACGGCAAAACAGCUAUU